rnacentral:lncRNA from 1 species
UGGGGAGACCUUUAAAUAGUUGGACAUAUGCCUUUGAACCUGAAAUAAUCAACAAAAUCUAAAAGCUGAUAUGCUGUUCUUUAUGAUUACUUCAAAAGGAAGAUUAGUAGACUUUACCAAGAAUUUUUUUAACAUUACGUUAGAUAUUAGCUAAUUGAUUCCAUGAAGUAAUCAUGUAAUUCUCAAUAUAACAUCUGCAUGGAUCUCAUAAUCUUCUGUUUUCUAAUCUAGCACAUGGUUAAUUAUUAAACCAGUUUAUUUCUUGAUUUUGGAUAAGAUUCAAUUUACGAGUAGACGAAUUAAUUCAAGUUAAUUUUGAUUUGUUUUAAAUAGUUAAUAUAUUGUUUUUUUUAUCAUGUUUCAAUUAAAUCAUAAAUAAAUUUAAAUUUUUUUAUCAGGUUAUACUAGAUUAAUUUACUUCUUUAUCAAUUUUUUAAACCGAUUCGAGUUUAAUAAACAUUAUUAUAUCAACUAAACUUAAACAGACCAAAACUAAACAUUAAUGAAAGGCUAGCAGAUUAAAAAAAAAAGAAAUAAUUUUUUUAAAUUCACUUGGUCAGGGUUAAAAUCUUUUCUAAUUUAACUAGAUAUUCAAUCCAAAUCAAAAUUAAAAUCGUAAUCUCUCGGGUCAAUUCUCUACACCAAACUAGUUUUAAAAACAAUGCUUAAUUCUAUCAAGGAAGAUUAAAUAUAGUUAGUUGAAGAAAAAGAAGAAAAGCAACCAAAACUUUAUUAAUGGCGAGCAAAGGUUUUAUUAUUUUUUUAAAAAAAUUUGAGACUUGUGAGUCAACGUUAAGAAAUUCCAGUUGUUAUUAGUACAAACAGUACGUGUGGUUAUGGAAGAAAAAUCCACAAUCGAACAAAAUUGGAAAGGACUUUAUGUUUUAUAAUAAUAAUUAAAAAAAAAACAGUACUUUAUGUUAUGAUGCACAUAUCACGUAAUACCAUGAUCGAUGAAUCCUCAAGAUGUGCGUGGACCUUAUAAAUAGUUGGACAAAUGCCUUCGAACCCUAUACUAACAAUCAACACAAUCUAAAAGAUAAUACCAUUAUUUUUUAUUUAUUUAUUUUAACAUGACAUUCGAUAGUUAAUUGAUUCCAUGAAGUAAUAAUGUAAUUAGCACUAUAACAUUUGCAUUGAUGUCAUCAUUUUUGUUUUCUAGUUAACAUUUUUAUUAAUCCCGAUGGGGAUAAGGCUCGGAAAUAAUUUAAGUAUAUUUAUCUAUUUUUUUUUUUAAAAUAUAUCAAAAUAAUAUUAUUUUAAUUUUAAUAAGAUUUCCCCUGAGUUGACUGAGUUAUAACUAAUUUGGGUUUUUUAACGAGGUCAUGUCAAUUCUUUUUUUUUUUGGUAAAACUUGAAUUAAUACAAGCUUUAAAUUCUAAAAUGUCUCGCUCGGCCGAUCUAAAUUUAAUAACUAGCGUCUUGCACCCACUGAAAUCAAAACCAUUGGCUUCCAAAUAAAUACAAGUAGAAAUCCUUCGUCCAAUUAUAUUAUAAAUCAUGGGGUCAGUAUGGCUGUUUAAUCAGUAUGGAACUUUGUAUGAAUCAUCUUUAAUUAGAAAUAUAGAUUAUGAUUUAACUUGAUUCGAAGUUCGGGUUUAAAACGACCAAGUGUAACAAUAGAGGGACUAAAUUCCACCAUUAUUGAAGACGAACGCCAUGAAAUUGGACUCACAAGAAGCGAGCACAGCAUUCAAACUCGCCAUUGAUUUUUUUUUAAGGAAAGCAAGUAUGCAUACAAGAUCACUCAAAUUGUCGUGUUUUACUCUAUGGAUUCCAUAAGCUGUAUGUGUUUGCCUUUUGUCAUCCAUAAUAUAUAUAGAUUCUUCAAUAGCAGAAAAACUUGUAUUAAUUAAUUGUAGCUAGAAUUAGAAGGAUCUUUUCUUUCUAAUUAAUUAAUGGGCAUAGGCAAUGGAAAUCCACCUUGAUUUUAUCACAAUUCCUUCCCAUUUCCUAAACCCUCUCUAUUGGAAGAUGACAAAAGGCAAGAAAUUGUAGGAAUCAAACAAAAUAGAAGAAUAGAACAAGCAAAAUAAAGUCACUUUACAUAACAUACCAAAGCACAAAUCCCCCCCAACACCCUCUCUCUCUCUCUCUCUCUCACACACACGGGACACUAGACGUCCCACAAGCAAUGGGCAUGCAGUGAAUGAAUGGGAAGUAGAAGCCAGCUAAUUCUUUAGAUAUGGACUUCACACCAAACUCUAUUACUCCCUUUCUCUCUCACACCCCCACCUCCUCACUACUAUAUUUAUACCCAUCUUCCUACACACACACACCCACCCAUAUAGACACCUCCAUUUUCUUUAUAAACAAAUCCCACUUCUCUUCUUUUCUUCCCCGAAAAAGAAAGAGAAGAAAAACACCCGCAUUUAUCUACUUACAUGCAUGUAAGUUUGCAGGCGUGCAUUAAUUAGACCUCAAACUUUUUAGUUUUACGCAAAAGAGUCCUCGAUUGUUUUUUUUUAUAAUAGACCUCCGCGUUCUCACCUGUCUUUCUACCUGGGCGUUCACUCUGCCACGCUAGAGAAAUUUCACUAAGCCAAGAUGGGUUACGGUAGACUCGGGCGAAAGGAAUCCGACCCGGGAGAAGGGUCCAGUAAUUCAUUUACUAUCAACCAACCACAACACGCCACGUCACAGGUUUCCCCGACGAGAAAAAAGAAAAUCAUCUUCCUUACCAUCUUCUCUGUCGUAUUGAUAGCCGCCUCCGCCGCCUCCGCGGCGAUCCUCCUCGGGGUCCGAGAUAAGGCUUCUGGUCAAUCCGACCCGAACAGUCUUACUCACCGGAAACCAACCCAGGCUAUCUCCAAGGCAUGCAGCAAGACUCGGUUCCCGGCCCUCUGCGUCAGCUCGCUCCUCGACUUCCCUGGCUCAAUGACUGCGUCCGAGUCAGACUUGGUUCACAUUUCCUUCAACAUGACUCUUCUGCACUUGGAUAAAGCUCUAUAUCUCUCCUCGGGAAUCUCCUAUGUCAACAUGGAGACACAUGAACGGUCAGCAUUUGAUGACUGCCUCGAGCUACUGGAAGACUCCAUAGACGCCCUCACUCGGUCCCUCUCCACCGUCUCACCAUCCUCCGGCGGUGGUGGAUCGCCGGAGGACGUAGUGACGUGGCUGAGCGCAGCGUUGACGAACCAGGACACAUGCAGUGAAGGAUUCGAAGGAGUUAACGGAACUGUUAAAGAUCAGAUGACAGAGAAGUUGAAGGAUUUGACGGAGCUGGUCAGUAACUGUUUGGCGAUAUUUUCCGCGACUAAUGGAGGCGAUUUCUCUGGAGUGCCGAUACAGAAUAAGAGGAGAUUAAUGACAGAGGAUGGGGACAUAUCGGAAGAGGACAAUUUCCCGAGUUGGUUAGGGAGGAGAGAGAGGAGACUAUUAGGCCUGCCUGUAUCGGCCAUACAAGCCGAUAUUAUCGUAUCGGGAGAUGGGAGCGGAACGUUCAAGACAAUAUCGGAGGCGAUAAAAAAGGCGCCUGAGCACAGUAAUCGGCGGACGAUAAUUUAUGUGAGGGCAGGAAGGUAAGGUUUGGUAAAAAAUUAACUACUUUUUAAAAGUUUCAGCGUUAUGAUUCUGUUUUAACCGUUGCUGUUUCGUGGUAAAAAGACAAAAAUACCCCUACAAGUUUGGUGGAACUGACUACUCUUUUUAAUGAAAAAUAAUUUUCCACGAGAGUGGUGGUGAUUGUAUGAUUGACUUCAUUGGAGCAAUCAUGAAAAUAAAAGAAAUUAUCAUAAAACUAUAAUUAUGUGCAUAAAAAAUUUAUUAAUGUGUGUUUUGACCUUUACAUGAUUUGUUUUCAUAAAAAAAAAUAUUUUAAUGUUUGAUCAGUAAUUCGAUAAUUAAGUUCAUAAGUAUUUGAUAAUUAAUAUUUUUUUAAAAGGGAUUUAUUCCAUUGCUUCAUAAUGUUUGAUCAUUGAUUUGAUUAUAAUUAAGAUUUUCAUAAUUAUCAUUUUUUUUUCAAAUACCUAUAGUCUUUUUGAUAUCCCUUUUGGGGAGAGUGGGAGUGAGGCAUCAUCUUUUGAUAUAUAUCCCUUUUGUGUUAGGCUCUCUGGUAGUGGAAAUUAUUGGUAUAUUCUCAUACUUUAAGCAUUUUGCAAAGGUAAAGAGAGAAAUAUAAUUUAUUGAUGCGUUGAUUAAUUGUGUUUAUGCUAAUUCAGAUAUGUAGAGGAUAACUUGAAAGUUGGGAGGAAGAAAUGGAAUUUGAUGUUCAUCGGAGAUGGGAUGGGAAAGACAAUAAUUACAGGAAGCAGAAGUGUUUUUAACCACAUCACCACAUUCCACACAGCAUCCUUUGGUAAAUUCUAUAUAUUUAUUUAUUCUCCUUUUAAUUACUUUGAUUAAUUUAAUAUUCUUUUGUUUUAAUCACUUCAAUUUGUGUCAAAUUGAUGAGGCAAGGUUUCUUGACUUUGAGCUCAAAAGAGAGCUGAUCGUGGGUCAAAAACUUGUUGUCUACGCUGUUUGUGACUGCCCUUUCUUUGCUGCAAUAAUGCUAGCAGACCACAGCCCCUUUCCUUUUAUUCCAUUUGAUCGCAUCAUAAAGUAAAAGAAAUUGGUGAUUUUCAACUUUUGUAGAGCAUCAAUUGUAGUUAGUCUUGCUUCAAGCUGUUCUUAUUUGUUAGCUAUAGUCUCUACGAUUGACUGCUGAAGCUUCCAAAUAGAUAUUUUAUUUAGUACUAUUUUAUUUUUUAUAAAAAUAAUUUUUAAUUAAAAAUAUAUAUUUUUAAAUUUAUUUAAUUUUUUACAUUAAUAUAUUAGAACCAUUGAAAAACAUGUAAAAAAAUAUUAAUUUUAUUUUAUUGAUUUAGAUGAUGGUAAUUAAGAGCAGCCGCCCUAGCAGUUGUUUUGUGUGGAUCGUUGAUUAUCUAAACUGCUCCUAGCACAAACCUUGUUUUUAUGUUAUUGAUUAAUCAUGACUAGGGUUUACUUGGAUUCACUCGUAUAUAAAAGAACAAUCAAGCUUUGAUUUUUUAAUUUUUAGUUUUAUGUACUAUCAAAUUACAAAUAGAUGCUUCCUUCCUAUGCAUAUCCAGCUGCAAAAUCAUGGACACAAUUUAGCAAGUAUUGUCUGUUUGUUUUAAAUAUUAAUAGCUCAUAAAAUAUUGUACAAAUUAAAUUCAAGUGACGGAUACAAGUUGUACAUUAAUGGAGGUGGGUCAGGAGCAUCACAUGAUUAACAGGUGGACUCGUGGUAGUGACACUACUGCAUGAACCAAUCUGCAAUAAGAUAAUGAAAGCAACUCGUAAUCACACAGAGUGGUUUCUCACCAUUUUCCUCUGUGCUCAUAUUUACUGUUAUGAAAUCUACUGUUUUAUCGUAUUAAUCAUUGUAUGUGUGUGUGUGUGUGUCAAUUGUACAGCUGCAACAGGAGCUGGUUUUAUUGCUCGUGACAUGACAUUUGAGAACUGGGCUGGUCCAGCCAAGCAUCAAGCUGUGGCUCUUCGAGUUGGUGCAGACCAUGCUGUGGUCUAUAGGUGCAGCAUCAUUGGUUACCAAGACACCCUCUACGUGCACUCAAAUCGCCAAUUCUACAGGGAAUGUGACAUUUAUGGGACUGUAGAUUUCAUAUUCGGCAAUGCUGCAGUUGUGUUACAAAACUGUAGCAUUUAUGCCCGUAAGCCAAUGGCCUCCCAGAAAAACACCAUCACUGCCCAGAAUCGCAAAGACCCUAAUCAAAAUACAGGCAUAUCAAUCCAUGCUUGCAAGAUCCUUGCCGCGUCGGACCUCGCACCGUCGAAAGGCACCUUCCCGACAUAUCUCGGCCGUCCAUGGAAGCUGUACUCUAGAACUGUGUACAUGUUAUCAUUCAUGGGUGAUCACAUUCAUCCAAGAGGGUGGCUCGAGUGGGACGCAUCAUUUGCACUGGACACCUUAUACUAUGGUGAAUACAUGAAUUAUGGACCUGGUGCGGCGGUCGGGCAAAGGGUAAAAUGGCCCGGGUAUCGGGUCAUCACAUCGACCGUCGAGGCAAAUAAAUUCACUGUGGCACAGUUUAUCUAUGGUUCAUCUUGGUUACCUUCUACAGGGGUGGCAUUUUUAGCUGGACUUUCAGUUUAAAAAACACUUUUUGUACCAUAUAGCUCGAUAUAAGUGUUCUUCAAUUGCCAUAAAUGGCUAUAGGCUUUUCUACUCUGAUUGUAAUUGUAUGCAAGUGUUAAUUUUUCUGUACUAUUUUUACUCAUAUAUAGUGCAAUUACCAUAGCAACGAUCUACAUUAAUGUUCCUUCCUUUAGAGUUGCAACUCAUUGCAAGUGCUAUGUAGAAAGCCAAGGACUAAAUUUUAGCUUUUCAUUGAGAGGCUCUUCGAUUUCAGACUCUUUCAAUAAAAGCAAUUAAUUAUUUCUCAUCUUCUAAUUUCUAAUCGAAUUCAUUUAGAGGAACUUGAAUAUGCAAUGUCCAAGCUGCAACUUGUGCUAACAUAUUUUCGUAAUUUUUCUUGGGAGAUUCAGUUCAUUUUGUGCUACACAAUAUAAGGUAAUUUUCCGCUUUGUUUAAAUUUGACAAUCGUUUUUUUAUAAUUUUAACCUCAUAUUUAAUUGAUGCUGUGCCACACAAUGUGAGGUCAUUUUUUUCUUCUUAUUAAAUCCAAAUAUAUUUGAUGCCUAUAUCAGUCUGGGUUUCAUAAAAAAUAAAGGAAUUGACUGGUGUAACCUAAUAAAAAAUCAUGGUUGAUUCGCAACCCGGUCAAUCAAAUCAAAAAUCUAUUUAUUUUUUUAAUUUUUAUCAAAACAAUAUCAUUUUAAUUAUUUAAAAAAAAUAGAUUAAUUUAUCUAACUCGUGAUCAAGAGCAUGCCCAUAUCAAUCUUUAGAUUGGAUUUAAUAAUUAUGAUUGCAACCAUAAUUUUCAUAAUUUUAACCUAAGUUAAAAUCCUAAUUUUUAAUCAUUGGGAAAUCCAUAUAGGUAGGGCGUGUUUUCUUAAGUUAUGAAUUGAAAAAUUGGAAAAUCACAAUAUAUGUAAAAAAAAAUAUUAGGUUAGUGAUGAGUUAAUAUUUUUGACUUAAUAUUUUUAUGACUUGAAUAAGUCUAAGCUUGUAAUAAAAUAAUAACCCAAUCAAACAUUAAUAUAACAAAAUAUUUAAUUUAAUAUAUUUAAUUUCGGCUAUGAGCUGAGCCUAAAAAUUCAUUAAAAAUAAUUUUUACAUGUACUAAAACUAAGAAAAGAAAUAGUGACAUGAAUAUUUAAUUAAUUACUAUCCAACCUGUUACAUGAACAUAUUGGAUUUUCAGACAUGUAUUUGACCUUUUGACAUUGAUUUCAUGUGGCUGGCGAGUUGUUGCUUGCUGGUAGCGCUCAUCACUUUUUAAUACUUGAAGAACGUGAGGCUACGAUUUUUUUAUGGAACCUACGAGUGUCGGUGGAUUUACAAAUAUCAGUGUCCAAUCUUACUGACAUUGUUAGUGGCCAUCGCUGUUUAGAAUUACAUCGCAAUCAGUGCUUUAUUAAACUUAAAAUUUUUUAUAUUUUUUAAAUUAAUUUUUCAUAUUUUUAAAUUAUUUUAAUAUAUUAAUGUUAAAAAUAAUUUUUUAAAAAAUAUUAAUUCAGUAGCGUAAUUGAUUUGGCUAGGUUUUUAAUUUAAACAAAAUGCUAUCAUAUUAUAUGAAAAUUAGAUAGUUCAGAGACAAUUUUGAACAAAAUUAAAGGCACCGAAAAGAAAUAAAAAGUAAAAUAUAAGGACAAAAAUAAACUUUUUGCACAAACUUUGAAGAUACCACCAGGUUUUUCCACCUUUUCCACUUUCAUCCCCAUUUUUUGAUUUUGUCUUUGUCCUCAACAAAUCAGAGUCAAUACAUCAUCAAUUCGGCCAUGAAAGAACUAUAAAUUGAAGAUUGAAAAACAAAAUUUAUGAAAAAAGUGAAAAUAAUUUUUUUCAGGGAAUAGUAUUUUCCCCACCACAGUGUUCUUAUAAUAAAAACAGCUCGAGAAAAUCCUCAAAGACAAGACUACCGCAAACAGUACACAUAUUAGAGUGUGUCCUAUCUCUCAUGAACCACUGCACCUAUUGAUCGAGGGACAUCAAAUAAUUUUUUUUUUUAUUAAUAUGAAUGUUAGGAUUAGCUUGUAUUUAUUUUAAUUAAUUUUAUGAAUUCUAAAAUUAAUAAUUAUAUAUAUUUUUAAUAAUUCUAAAAUUUAUAUAACUCAAAUUGAUAAUUUCUAUAAAAUAAAUUUAAAAUCUGAUUAAUUAAAUUAUACCGUUUAAAAACAGAAACGAAAACUCUACAUGUAUGGGUGUUGAAUGCAUGCACCGGACAAAUGCACGCUUUGAAAGUAGGUCUGGUUCAAUUCCCUAGCCAGAUUUAUGUACCACUUCACUUAUUAUAUAUGUAAUGUAAUGUAGUAUAUAUGGUCUAGUAGACUCUAGAGUCCCAUCCCAUCGAGCUCAUCCCUUCGUCAAACGCAGCCACACACCCACUGUUUUGCUAUGAGACAAUGUGGUUUCUCCAUGGCCUGUGUUCUUUGUCUCACCUUUAAAGAAUGAAAUAACUUUUCAAACUUGUCCCCUUUUUUUACCCCUGAAGAAGGAAAUGGGGUCCGUAUCGUUGUAGUUUCUGUUUUUUUACUCGACUACGGAGAAGAAGAAACGGUUAAAAGGAUAAUAUAUUAAUGUAGUUAUUUUUUUUAAUGUAGAAUAUUUUUUUUUAAAAAUUAAUAUUUUAAAUUUUAUUAUUUAUAACAUGUAUAUCUUAUAUUCACAUGGAUUGUUUCUUAAUUUUGUUAUAUAAAAUAUAAAAAUUUUAAAUAAUUUUUUAGUUUUUCUAGGUAUUCGGGUUGACCUGGAUCAACCCGUGUAACCCAGGACCCGGUUUCUUGACCGGAUCAAUACCAAAUUGAAUAUGAUAACUAUGUUAUUGUAAUUGCUUUUCAAAUCUUUAUUAUGUUAAAGUUAAAAUAGUCAUCAUUGCAACUAUAUGUUAAAAAUUUACAUACAAAAAUCAAUCAUGUUUUUAAAAAUUUACUUUACUAAAACAACAACUAAAGUUUUUUUUUUUUUUUUAAAUUAUUUUAUUUAAAACUGGAUCUAUAAAAGCUACCACGCAAAACACUUGACAAUAAACCGAGUUACCUUGAUUCUUACAUGUUUUUGUCCCUUUUCCCAUUUCUUUUUGUCUAAUCCAACUCCUCUCUGGAUUUUGAUCAUAUGUGUUCAAGAAGUUAGAUUUUCCUUUAGAGUAUUCGCAUCUACCUUCUGAUAAAAUGCAGACCACAAAGAAAAACAUGCGGGGUGUUAGAUUGGACAGAAAGCAUUGAAGUGAACAAUUCGAGUUCUAAUUUACUAACGACAUGGUACUGAGAGUAGUAGAUUUGGGUUCUCUGCUGUUCUGAGUCAACAAACGUACACGGUGCCAGUUGGGUUGGCUCACUUGAGUUAGGCAGGAAAGGACAUGUUCAGGCCAGCUUUGAUUGGAUCGUCGUCUUAUCCUUUCAGUCAUUCUGAUGCCAACCACCAAAUGCCAAAUUAACCCCUUUUACCCAAACUGGUCCUUGAGCAUUUCAUCUGUUAAGAAAUUUACUUCAAAGAUUCCUACUGACUUCCAUUAUUGACCCACCUCGAAACACCAUCUAUUUUGCUCCCGUGUACACGGUCGGUCUCAAAUCUCUGUCAAGAUCCUAGACCCAUUGAUAUUACUCUAUAUAUAUAUAUAUGCUGAUACAUUACCGUAAAAAAAAAAAGUGCACAGUUAAAGGAUAUAUAGUGUAUAAUUCAACUAUCCAUAUAGAUGUGAUUGGAAGUAUGAUUAUAAUUGUUUUUUAAAUAUAUUAAAAUAAUUUAUUUUUAUUUUAAUGAUCUAAAAAUAUUAAAAAAAAAUUAAAACAAAAAAAAAACAAAAAAAAUUUAAUUUUUUUUUAAAAUAUUUUUGAAAUGUAAAAUCAAAUACAACAUGAAAGAUUAUGAUUGUGUGACCUGGAUCACCGCAUGCUGCAAUUCAUCAAUCCACCUUUUUCAACGGUGUAAUAAGAGAUUGUGCAUAAUUUUCAUUCCUAUACCAGUACUGUUUCCAUUUGCAUCAAAUAAAUUUUUUUUAGGGUUUAAGUUAUAUUAAAGUUAAGGGUGCUUAGGGUAUUUUAGGGGUUAUAGUUUUUUAGGGUUUAGGGUUUUUUUUAAUUAGGGGGUUAGAGUUUAGGGUUUUUUAAGGGCUGAGUUUUUUAGGGUUUAGGGUUUUUUUAGUUUAUCUAGGUUUAUAGGUUUAAGGGUUUUUAGAGUUUAGGUUAUUUUAGGGUUAAGGGUUUUAGGGUUUAGAUUAUCUUCGGGUUAGGUUAUUUAGGGUUUAGGGUAUUUUAUUUUAGGGUUAACGGUUUAGGGUUUAAGCUAUUUUAGGGUUAGGUUAUUUUAGGGUUUAGGGUUUAGGGUUUAGGUUAUUUUAGGGUUAGAGUAUUUUAAGAUUUUAGGGUUUAGGGUUUUUAUUUUAGGUUUAAGGGUUUUAGGGUUUAGGGUUUAGGUUAUUUUAGGUUUUAGAUUAUGUUAGGGUUUAGGGUUUAGGGUUAAGGGUUUUAGGGUUUAGGGUUUAGGUUAUUUUAGGGUUUAGGGUUUAGAUUUAGGUUUAGGGUUUAGAAGUUUUAGGGUUUUAGGGUUUAGGGUUUAGGUUAUUUUAGGGUUAGAGUAUUUUAAGAUUUUAGGGUUUAGGGUAUUUUAUUUUAGGGUUUAGGGUUUAGGUUAUUUUAGGGUUAAGGGUUUUAGGGUUUAGGGUUUUUUAGGGUUUAGGUUAUUUUAGGGUUAAGGGUUUUAGGGUUUAGGGUUUAGAUUAUUUUAGGGUUAGGUUAUUUAGGGUUUAGGAUUUUAGGGUAUUUUAUUUUAGAGUUAAGGGUUUUAGGGUUUAGGGUAUUUUAGGGUUAGGUUAUUUUAGGGUUUAGGGUUUUAGGGUUUAGUAGUUUUAGAGGGUUUAGGGUUUAGGUUAUUUUAGGGUUAGAGUAUUUGAAGAUUUUAGGGUUUAGGGUUUUAGGGUUUAGGGUAUUUUAUUUUAGGUUAUUUUAGGGUUUAGGGUUUUUUAGGGUUUAGGUUAUUUUAGGAUUAGGUUAUUUUAGGGUUUAGGGUUUAUGAUUUUUUUGGGUUAAGGGUUUUAGGGUUUAGGGUUUUUUAGGGUUUUGGUUAUUUUAGGGUUUAGGGUUUAGGUUAUUUUAGGAUUAGAAUAUUUUAAGAUUUUAGGGUUUAGGGUUUAGGUUAUUUUAGGGUUUAGGUUUUAGGUUAUUUUAGGGUUAGAGUAUUUUAAGAUUUUAAGGUUAGGUGUCUGUGCGGCAGUGCGUACUCGUCGCACGCGACACAAUGUCCANNNNNNNNNNNNNNNNNNNNNNNNNNNNNNNNNNNNNNNNNNNNNNNNNNNNNNNNNNNNNNNNNNNNNNNNNNNNNNNNNNNNNNNNNNNNNNNNNNNNUUUAGGGUUAGGGUUAGAGUUUUUUACGGUUUAAGUUAUUUUAGGGUUAAGAGUUUUAGGGUUUAGGGUUUUGGUUAUUUUAGGGUUUUAGGGGUGUAAGGUUUUUUAGGGUUAAGGGUUUUAGGGAUUUAGGUUGUUUUAGGGUUUAGUUAGGGUUAGGCUUUUUUAUUUUAUGUUGUUUUAGGGUUUAGAUUAUUUUAGUAUUUAGAGUUUUUUUUAGUUUAUGUUGUUUUAGGGUUUAGAGUUUUUUAGGAUUUUAUUUUUUUUAAUUUUAGGGUUGUUUUAGGGUUUAGGGUAUUUUUGGGGUUAUGGUGGUUUAGAGCUUAAGGGUUUAGGGUAUUUUAUAGUGAAGGGGUUUAUGAUAUUUUAGAUGUUAUGGUUUAUUAUUUAGAGCUUAAGAGAGAUUAGAGGUUUUUAGGGUUUAUGGUAUUUGAAGGGUUAGUGUAUUUUUAGGUGUUUAGGUAUUUUUGUGAUUGGAGUUUUGGGUUAAAGGCUGAAAACAUUUUAGAGGUUUAAAGUUUUGAGUGUCGUGUUUUAGGAUUUAGGUCUUAUAGUUUUUUAGAGUUUUAAGUUUAGAAAAUUUUAAUUUUUUGUUAGUAAUAAUGAGAAGUACAAUGUGAAUUGAUUUUGCCCCUAAUUCAUGAAUUGAAAAGUGCCUUUCAACUUUUAGGCUAUGCAUUUUGAAAAUGGAUUUGAAAUUCAUAAAACCAAUCUUCAUGUCAAAUUAUAUCACAAAUGAUCUUUUCAAUAAUAUAAUAUCUCAAAUGUUGUUGACCUCUGUAGUUACAUACAUACACCGAUACACGUAUCAACCUUCCAUGAAUAUACUAGUAAAAAGAAGCCAAGCAUUCUUCACGUACAUGAACUUCAAAGAAUUCAAAUUUACUGCUCAGAAGAUGAACAGGAAAUAUGUGAGAAGUGGAAAGCCAGGGUUUCAAGGGAAUCAAACUCAAAAGAUGAUCGUGUCUUAGAAGAUGGUAACAUGAAGCAUUAAUGUCCUCUUUUGAGAAAUUUGCUAGAAAGAAUAUCAAGAGAUAUUAGUUACUAAAGUACCAUCAACCAUGUCCACAAUAUUAGUUACUAAGGAUUUGGCCUCGAGAAAUCGCCACUAGUAAGGAUUAGUUACUAAAUAUCAAGAAUGUGAUAUAACAAAUUUCCAGCAGUCCCCAUGCUUGUUAUGAGAAGGGCAGAUGCUAGUUGCAAGGACAAAAAUUUGUAACCCUUUAUAUACAAUAACUUUCAAGACAUAAAACAGAGAAAAAAAGAUGCCUUUAGUGGUGCAAAAAGAAGAUAUUAGGCAGCAAGAUUACAUGCAUGGAAUCACUUGAAACCAGCACUAUACUGUAUGAAAAGCACUGCUAGUUUUCCUCUCUUUCAUAAUGAGGUAUUGAAAUAGCAUCUAAUAAGCAAAAUAGCAAUGCAAUUGUUGAACAUGGAAUUCAGCCAAGCAAGAAUGCAAGAUAUAUAAAUAACAAACAAGAAUACCAUGUGUACAGUGGGAGGAUUCAUCAUUGUACAAGGAUCUAGUUUCUCAAAGUCUGCAACCUCCAACAAACCAGAGUACAUAACAGUUAGAAUGCUAGCAUUCUAAUAAAGAAUCAAGAGAGGGAGGAGCUUCAAAAUCUAGAAACAGAGAGAGGGAGGACCAGUACAUCAAAGAAAAGACGGGACAAGAAAAACAGAGAGAACAUAGAGUCCGUGAACUUCAAAAUCUAAUGCAACAGUUAGAAAAUACUUAAGCCCUUUUUUGUUUCUACAGUCCUAGUAUUCAAUAUAAGAAAAGACAGAACUCUCAGCAAGCAAAUCUUAUUAACUGAAGUGCUUAAGUAUGAAAUGGUGUAACAGAACAAAAAAGUGAUUUAUGAAAUCAAUCUAGUAAAAAAUGCUAUUUAUGUUAGUACCAAUUUUUAUGUUUGCAUACACAAAAUAACAUAUUGAAGAGUUGCUCCAUCAGCUCUCAUCCCCUUGAUUCCAGAACAAGAAUUCAAAAAUCAAAGGAAGAGACAAAUGCCAACAAACAUAACUCCUUACAGCCACACCAACAAUGUAUCUAUAAAAAACAAUAUCAGACGCAUAUUAUCCAUAUGACCUUUCAUCUUCAAGCAAGUUUGAAAAAAUGUAAAGAGAAAAAUGCAAUAACGUUGAAUUUUAUCCGUCAAAACUUAAUCAUAAGGCUUUUAUAUAAAUCAUACAUGCCAUAAACCUUUUCAAUACAUAUUUUCACAUGCAAUAGAAAGACUAUUAAACAGGAUGAACAGAUGAUACACACCUUACACGAGUGAUUAAUUAGAUGAGCAAUACUUUCAGCCCUUGUGACAAAUUAAGCAGUGAAUCCCACAAUUCAAGGACAACUCUUUAAGAAAAUAAGACAAGGCAGAAAUCACUCCCAACCCACCUGCCUAUUCCAAUCAAAUAAGAAUCCCACAAUUCAAAGAAGCAGCAUGAUAUUUUUAGCUUAGCUGGGUUUUCUUCAAAUAAAAUCAGAAAUAAGACUUUAAAGUGAAAUCAAAAAGCAGAAGGAAAAGAAACAGACCCCCAAAACCCUGGCAUACGCCGAAGCAACAAUCAACUUUAAAGCAUGGAAUGGUGUUACAGAAGUGAUUUAUGAAAUCAUUUUACUAAAAAAAUACAAUUUAUCUUAGUACUUUUUUAUGUUUGGACAGACAAAAUAACACAUUGAAGUGUUGCUCCAUCAGCUCCCAUUCCCUUUAUUCCCAGAGCAGAAAUUCACAAUUCAAAGGAAGAGACAAAUGCCAACAAACAUAUUUCUCUGCAGCCACACCAACAACAAUACAACCAUGUUGGUUCAACAACAACGGCUAUGAGUGAUAGUUUUGCUAGUACGGGCUAGUUACAACAGCAUUCAGUGAAUCCAAAAGAGAAAAAUCAUCUUCUUUAUUAAAAAUCCGAUUCUUCUUGCUAAAUUAGGAGAACAAUUGGUUAUUUUUUGAAAAUUGUAUCCUCUAAGACAGGAAAACCAACAUGCAUGAAUAAGACUUUGAAGAUUUUGCAAUUAAUUGUAAAAUGUUCUGAGGAAUCAUGAUUUUGCAAUUAACAAAAACAGCAGCUCAAUUUUGCAUUUACGCUUCAAAAGUCAAACACAAGCAUUACAGCAAAGAAAACCUAUCAAGAAACAAAGUGAUCUUACCACUUCCAUCAAGUUUGAAAUUUGAUCUCUCUCUUUUGGUUCAAUUGACCGUAUUUAUUGAUCUGCUUACGUCUUUUAACGUGCAUCAAGAGCACAAGGGAAACGCUAAUGGGGAAUUCAUUUGUAUGCCAUGGAUAGAGCUUUAAAACACAACAGAAACAGAAAUUCCAGUCAGAUUUUUUGAAAGAAAAGGAGAACCAAUUUCAAAAAUUUAAAACCAGUUAAAUAGAAAGUGAAAUUAAAAUCUUUCCAAGAAAUAAAAUCCAAUCAAUCAAAAAGUUUAAGAAGUAAAUAAAAGAAAAACUCACCGUGAAAUCUAAAAGAUCCAAACUUUAACUCUAAAAAUCCUCCAAUCCCUUAAUAAAUUCAAGAAAUCAUACGUUACAAUGAACAGAAAAAUAAAGAACACAUCAAACAGAGGAACGAGACAAAGCUUACAUGAAAAUGUCUAUAGUAUACUUUCUAAAAUCACAAAAAGUGAAAGACCCAUCAAAGACUAACCAAAAUAAAAGCAAAAUCCAGAAAGAAGAAGAAUAAAUUACAUAUUUAUAGCGAGAGAGGAAGAGGUGGGUACUACAGAGAACUUGAAUGCAUGAAGAUUCUCUCUUUGAUCGAAAUUGAAAUUCCAUAUGAUUACAAGAAGAAUCAAACCUUCUUACAUAGAAUUUGAACGGCUAAAAGUGUAUUAUUGCUUCUACUUACUAGAGAGAGAGAGAGAGAGAGAGAGAGAGAGAGAUUUCUUUUUUAGAUUGAAAAAUGUUGAGAUUUAGAGAGAGAGAGAGAGAGGCGCUGGAUUUAUUACGGAGAAUUCAAAAAAACAAAUGACCGUUACAUUAACUGAAAGACAGAGAACUUGGUUUUCUCGUGUUGAUUGGUUUAGGUUUCUCAAACGACGCCGUCUUAUAUGACCAGACUUGCUGUUUUUUUCUUCGCUAAUAAACCACACAACUCAAUUCACAUAACAUCAUUCAUCUCAGCAAGUUAAUCCAAUUAUAGCAUUUUAAAAAAUAAAUAUUUUUCCAAUUUGGACCAAAUCACCGAAGCAAUUGAAUAACGAUUAACUAUUUAUUUCAAUUGAGCCAAAUUUCUAAAUAUAUAAUAUUGCUGAAUAGAUUAUUAAUGUAGGAAUGAUUUUUGAUAAUUAAGAAUAAUAUAAAUUAUAUUUUCGAAUUUCAUUUAACAGCUUAAUCUUUUGAAUUAAAAUGAUUUUUUAAUAUUGUAUCGGAACUUGAUUAAAUUAUCAGAAGCUCUUAAUCAACAAAAUAAUAAAUAAUAAAAUUUAAAAAAUAUAGAAAAAAGAUGAAAAACAUACUUAAUUUAAUUGGGGUUAACCGAUUAAACUUGUAAUUCGAAUCAUUAGAUUAAGAUAACUUCAUAGAAAAUAAAUUAAAAUAAAUUAUGAAGCUUAAUUUCUAAUCAAUUUAAUGUUGAAAGAUAAAAUUAAAAAAAAAAUCUAAAAAAUUGACCCGAAUCAACUAAAUUAACCUAUUAAAUUCAUAAUAUGACUCAUGAAAUCAAAAUAACUUUAUAAAAAAUAAAUUCUCAUCCCCAAUUAACUUUUGUUAAUUAGUUUAGAUCCACGCACUACACCAUGCUACAAGUCGAUAACUUUGUCUAUCGGAUCUAUGUGAAAAGGCAAAUCUUUUUUUUUUUAUUGCCAAUAUUCAGCUACUACUAAUUUACUAAUUCUUAGUAAACUUUUGCAGUGGCUAUAGAUUCUCAGAAAAAUCAGAUGACUUUAGCUUCGGAGUUUUUCUCCCAGAGAUUGUGACUAGUAAGAGGAAUACUGACUCUUCCAUGCCCAGCUUCCUCAAAUUGUUCAGGGAUGGGUAAGUGAAACAAUAGAGGAAAAAAACUCCCUCUGUGAUAGCUUAGCUGCAUGUAUUUGUUGGUUCCUAGGGAAGGAAAAGUAACAUUGAUGUCCUGGAAUUGUUUUCAGGCAUGAGAAUAUCUGAGAAAUAAUGUCACUUAGGCUUAGAAAAUUAUCCUAAAUUUACUUUGUUUUUCUUUUAGAUUAUUUUUUUCGGUUUUAUUCUCAGACUUUUUCUUACUCUUUUAUUUCCAAUUCCUAUGGGACUUUCCAUUUGUUUAGGAAAAAAAACGUGUUACCUGGAGUUUUUUUUUUUUUUUUUAGCUUUGUUCAAUGUAAUUGUUUUUAUAAGUAUUUUUGCUUUUGAAUUAAAUAUAAGUAUCAAAUAUUUUACGUGCUUUAUUCUAAUUACCUUUGAAAUACAGGCUAGCCUAAGCCUCGAGUCAACCCAUUAGGUUGAGUAUUUUGAGCAUCAAAUGAUGUAUUUUGAUUUUUAAAUUUUAUUAUUUUUUCAAAUUUAAUCCCCACUCACUUGAUUUUUAUUUUUGUUUUGGAUUCUUUUGUGAGUUCAUGAGCUUAGAAAUUUUCAAUUUUGCCCUUUAGUUCAAUAUUUGUCCCUCAAUAUUUUGGUUUUAAAUUUCUAUUUUUGAUACCUUUAUAAAAUUUAAUUUAUUUUUGAUUUCAUUAUUAGAUCUGUAAUCUUGAUUUUUUUUUAAUUUCAUUACCGGGAUUUGCUGAUUUUUUUUUUAAUUUUUUUUUCAUUGAUUUUUUUUUCAAUUUUAUCUAUCUUCAUUUGGAUUCAUGAAGAUUGACAAUUGAUAUUUUUUCCAUUCUCUUUCUAUGAUGUGGAGCUGUUAAUUGUUUUUUUAAAAUACACUUAUAGCACUUAGAGUGUGUUUGAAAGUGCGGUUGCAAUUUCUUUUCAAAAUGUUUGACUCAGAAAAACAUCAAAAUAAUAUUUUUUUUUAUUUUAAAAAAAUUAUUUUUAACAUCAGCAUAUUAAAAUGAUCGAAAAACACCAAAAAAUAAAUUCAUGUACUAAAAAUAAAUUCAUCUAUUAACUUUGUAAAUUUAGGAGCUAUUUGGAAACACUUUUAAAAUGGCAUUUCCUAAAAAUUAAAUUCUAUUUUUUUAAUAUGUUUGGUUCAUGAGUUAAUUUGAAAAAUAUUUUAAAUAAAUAAAUAAAUUAUUUUGAUAUAUUUUCAAGUGAAAAUCACUUGAAAAACAACCGUUACUACGCUCACAAACACCUUCUUAAAUUAAGAAGGCAUUCAAAUUAAAUUUAGAAGAUUAAUUUUCUGGUUAAUUUUGAAUAUUUAACUUAAUUUUAAAUUUCAUAUUCUUUCUACUAUCUAAUUUUUCCUUGCAAAGAUCCAUCUAAAGCUUAUUUAAAGAAAUGUAAUCCCAUUUUGUGAGGCAAACAAUUAUAGAGAAAAUUAUUCAAUAAUAAAGUUACUAUUAAAGCUCUUGUCAUUGAAACCCUUUUCCCUUUUCGGAAAUUAUUUUUCCUUGUUCAUUAAAUACUGAUUAACUUAGGUUUGGCUGUGUCGUAUUACCUCAUGCCAUGAGAGUCCAUGCCCAAAGUAAUAUAAUAAGAUAAUAAUAACCCAAUACAACAAGUAUUUACUAAUACAGUAGCUUUUAUCUCUUUGAAGCUUUAAGCCACAGUAAAUUUUUUCCCAUGAACAGCAGCAAAGUGCAAGAAAAUAUUCAAACAGUACAAUGUUUAGAAAAUGAACUCGAAAAUGAAAUCAACAAAAACAUAUUAUUUCAGGUAAAUUGUCAAAAGCCAUUUUCAUUCAACACAGGGACAAAGGACAAGCACAAGAGACUGAGGCUUGCUGCACAAGGUCAGAUGUACGAACAACAUGAAGCAAGUGAUGGGGCAAUAAGUUCCAGCAACCAAUCCAGAUUACACAGAACCAAACGCCAUUAAAGCAUGGAUAAAGUUCCAUCAUUCAUUCUCCAUGCAUGCGCAUAAUAGCUAAUGCAAACAAGUAACAUAUCUACAAGUUUAUCCUGGACUCACGAGGACAGCUUAUCGAGACGACGAUCCAUGAUUAGUGAUACAGCUUCAAGAAAGGCAGCCUCACUGCUUCCUGGGAGAACAGCAUCAUGAGCUUCUUGAACAAUCUGCUCAAUCACGGAUUCCUUCUUCACUGUUUCCCUGCACAUGAGGCUUCCAAUGGCGAAGGGAGUAAGACCUCUCUCUACUCCUUUCUUCAGAAGCAUAGUGGAAAUGCGAAGGGUGCGAGCACACUCAGGUGGUAUAUCCCACCCAUGAAACUUCAGAAGUGCGAUGUCCUGCUCAGCAUCCAGAGCUUUGAUGUACUCAACAGUGUCAGGGGAGUAAGGCUGUUGAGCUUGAGGCCAGUAAAGCCAGUCAAAGGUGCAAUCCUCAAACUGCAGGGAAAUGGAGCAAAUAUGAGAAGAAAUAGGCAUGAAUUUGAAAGCAUUAAACAUAGGUUGAAACAGGAAAGCAUGUUAGACAGUACAGAUAAGCUUUCAUCCAACUGAUACCGAUGCUCAAAAAUAUAAAGCAACCCUGAGACGAAAAAUUCAGAUAAAUUAAUGUAGUUUGGAACUCAUUCCUUAGCAGUCAGAAGCACCAAAAAAAGACAUGCUUUCAUGAUAAAAAUGGUAGAAGUGCAAGUAAAUUGUUAUGGAAACUCCUGGAAUUUACUUAGGAUGACAAUUUAUGAGAAAAACAUGUGACAAGCAUAUGCUUCAUAAGAAUCAAAGAUAGCUGAAGGCCAGUCAUGAGGAAAUAUCCAACAUACUCAUUUCUAAACAAAUACUGAAUGGUACAGAAUGAGGACAAUCAGCAUACCAUACUUGAAAUCUUCUCUCCAUAGCUAUACACAAUUAUAUUUUUCCUGGUUUUGGAUAAAUUUUAUUCCUCACCUAAUUGUGGAGCAUGCUCAAAAAGAUGAGUUGCAUGCUUUGCGAAAUAUAAGGGGAAAUAGUAUUAAGUUUUACUAGGACAUAUCCAGCACAUGUACAUUUACUCAAGGGAUGCUGCUCAAAAGGAAUGGAUAGAGAAGACACUAACAUAAGAAAUUGAGAUAGCAGCAUUAACCAUGAUCAAUUGGAAUAAUACAAAGUGGAAGAACAGAAUGAGACAGUUAAAAACAACAAGAAGACAAACAGAAGGUAGAACUUACAUUUGUAGGCAAGCAGUAACCAUGAUCAAUUGGAAUAAGCACAAUCUUGCCACGCUCACCAUCUUUACUGACCAAUAUGUUCCCAGCAUGCCUAUCUGCAUUUGCCAAUCUAAUAUCCAACACUGAGAUUUUGUGCACCUCAGCUACAGGGAAAGCACAAGGACCCAUAUCUUCACAAUUUCCAUUAUUCUCUAUGAACAUCUGCAAUGAACCAAUUUUGAUAUUCUUGGAAUCAAAUUCAUAACCAUCAGGAUGAUUGAAUCCUCUGUGGAGGCACUUGACCAUUGCUGUGGGUGGAACCCCAGCAAAGCCUCUCUCCUCACCAGAAAAUGAGCGUGGUCCACUCUUUGGAUGAUCCAGAAUGUAAGCUGCAACUUCCCGCAAUGCACCCUGUCCUACUCUAGUGCCUUUCUUCAAUCCUUCACCAUCAACUGACAAGGGUAGCCCCUGAGGAUUAUUUACAGCCAUUGGCUCCUCAUCAAUUGGCUUAAAGACAGAAACAUAUUUCAGACCAGAUGAAUCUUGCAUGAAAUAAGCUCCUCCAGAUCCCUCAGAAGAUCGAAUUGGUUCAUUGCCCCUCUCCAGCCCAUUUAAAGUUGACUUGAUUAGCUCUCUGAUAACCAAUGGCAGUUGAAUUUUGGAAUUAACAAUUACUGGUUCCAGUAAGAACUGUUGUAAUAGUGGUUUCCUCUCUAUACCCCUAUAUCCCAUAGAUAAAGCACCCUGUUUGUGCUCUCCUACACUGCCAGCUUCCUUAUCAUUCAAAUCUAAUGCCUCAACAGACAAUUCAAAAUCUUUCUCAACAGGUUUUACCCUCACUUUGGCAGAUUUCCGAAUGAGCAAAUGAAUCACAGAAUCAUUACUUUUGCAAAUAUCAGUAAUGAGCCUCUGGUCUUCGAGCUCCUCACCAUCACAUAUCAGUUCUUGUUCAACAAGUUCAAAACAUUUCCCUUUCCUAGCUAUCUGCUUCUUAACAUAGCCUACACUUCUACCCCUAUCAACAUGAAAGUCACACACUUUGCCACAAACAGUCCUGACAGUUAUAGUUUGGAGAUCAUAAAGCCUGAGCACCAAAUGCAGAACUUUUCCAUUCGCAACACCAUAAUCUCUUACUUGCGAAUUGUUCCGUGCUAGUUCCCUCCCUUCAAAAACCAAUUUUUGCUUCUUCACAAAAAAACCUUCGGAAGCUUGAAUCCUCAGCUUCACCGAAGCAAUUGAAUCCGACUCCAUAACUCGCAUUGGAAUGACUGAUCCCCCAAAAGAAAGAUAUAUUACAAUAGAGUAACUAGAGCGCAGACCACACAGCCAAGGGAAAUUGCAACGAGAAUCUAAAGACUCUCCACACACAGGACUAAGAGCUACACUAGCCACCGACAUUGUUAGUCCGGUCAAUCUAAAUCCUAGCUUCUUACACUAAUAUAAAACUCCAAAAUCCUAAAUUUUACAAUAAACCCCAAAUUCAUUCCAAACCUCCUAACCAAGAGCAAGAUCCAAGAAUAAAAAUCCCCAUUUUCCACAAAAACCCGGGUAGACACAUGUCAAAACCCAAAGAAACACAAGAAACAAUACUUUCAUCAAACUAUUCAAGCUAAAGGUUCCAAAGUGUGGACCUAUCACCGGAUUCUCUUCUUGUGAAAGAUCAAUACUUUCGUCAAUCACUUCAAUAUAAUCCCUGCAAGAAAAAACAAUAUCUUCAAUUAGAAACAAUAAAAUUUUAUAUCCUCAUCAAAACCAAAAAGGCCUAACUAUUUAGUUCCAUUUGAGUAUUAUUUAAUUAAAUGAAAAAAGAAAGAAAUUAAAGAAAAAGCCAUCAAAAAUUGAAUAUUUAUUUUCUCAAUUUCCUACAUUUUGAACCAUAAAUCAAACUCAUAACCUCAGCAAGACAAUAAAUUACAAAAUAAAACCACAAGUAAUUGAAUCUUUAUUUUCUCAAUUUCCUAUUUUUGAAUCAGAAAUCAAGCUAACAACCUAAAACAUUCAAAUUAAAUUAAAUUUCUCAAAAUCUUAUCGAAUAUCUUCAAUUUUUCUCGGAUUUUCUUAGUAACCGAACAGAUUACUCAAAACACGAUCGUAACAUAAGAAAUCAAAUAAAAACUCUUCUUCUAUCUCUAAUCCGUCAAUUUCCUUCGCAUCUUCUCACUUAACAAAAAAUAAAACUAAUAAACAAACAAACAUCAAACCAAAAUUGAUAAAAAAAAAAAUCCAAAAAAAAUAAAAAAAAAAAAAAUUCAUCACCUGAAGAAGCUGAAAUCGAAGGUGAAAUGAAGAUGAACAAAAGAAAAAGAAGAGAGAUUUAAUUUUUUUUGAAUUUUUUUCUCGUCAUUUUUUCGAUUUUGAAAAUUAAAUUCUCUCUUUUUUCUUUUACUUUCUCUCUGUACUUUAGUUCUUUUAAAAUGUUUCUAGAGAGAUGAACAGUGUUCUAAGCUGUGGGGUAUUUAUAGUGAUGGAGACGAUAGCUUCUGACGGAAGGUGAGGUGAUUAACGGAGUUAACGUCUUAAAUUUAAUGUAAUUAAUUGAUACUUAAAAAAAGGAAAUUCUUAGUGUUUUUUUUUUAAUUUUAAUUUGAUUAUCUGAUUUGUCCUCCAAGUAAUUGAUUAACUACUAAUACCCACUCUAUGGAUUCAAAAUGAUGAAAGAAAAAAUCAUAUUUAUGUUCACAAAAAUAUUUUUAUUUUGAUUAAAAAAUAUAUUUUUUAUUUUCUCUUUCUUAUUGAACAAGUAUUGUUAGUUACUCAUGUAGUGCUGCUCUAAAAUAACAUUUGGUUACUUUCAUGUGAUAACAAAGACCAAAAAAAAUGAAUAUUACAUGUUUUGUUGAAAAAAUAGAAGCAAAAAAUAAUAAUUUUAGAAUGAAUUUAAAUACUUAAAAAAGAAGAAGAAAUAGAGAGGCAUAUCUGCAGAAAUAAUAUAUAUUAUGUUUUACCCUAAAAUAUUAUUUUAAAAAACUUUUAAUUUCAAAAUUAUUCCACACUGUUUUAAGUAAAUAACCCUAAUUGUUUUCAAGUAAAACUAUUUUUUUUGUUCUUGUUGGUUACUUUAAUUUCUAUUAUCUGCAAAAUAUAUGAAAGAAGUGAUUUUAUUCAAGAACUUACUUGACAAAUAUCUCAUCGAUGAAAUGGGUUUAUAAGAAAAUUAAUAAAGAGUUUUUUUUGUUGAUAUUGUGGGAAAUUUUUUAUAUUUAUGUUGAUUGAAAAGAAAAUAAAAUCUAUUAUAUUAUACAUAGAAGUGAUGUUGAACUCAUGAAAAUCUAGAUAAUUUUGCACAUUAAUCAAUAAAAAAUGAGAUUUGAUAUGUGAAGUAAUUUGCACUCCUAAAAAUUGAAUCCGUUGGAUUUGGAUCUCCAACUAAAUUCUUAAUUAUUAAGUCUCCUUGUAAAUAUUUUUUUAUUGAUAUUUUUAUUUGUUUUAGUUUCCUUAUAAAUAUUACAUGGAGAAGUUAAACAAACAACUUAAAAUUAGGAAAAAAAAGAAUUAUAUUCAAAACACUUAAUUAUUUUUGCUUUUUAACAUACUUGUCCCCAACAAAGUUAUUAAACUUGAUAUCACUCGUGACCCGAUUUAAGCCUUGCAUUAUGGGUUGAGCGAUUAUGGGUUGAGCAAGUUAAUUUGAUUUGACCUAAGUUAAUUCAAAAUGAUGAUAUUUGAAAUCUUUUUUUUUAAAUUAGAUUGAGUAUUGACCUAGUUGAUCGGGUUGAGGAUUGACUCGUCUGGCUUACUGGGUCAACUUUCACUUGAUUUAAUUUUAAACUCAACCCAAGUUAAAUUUAAAAUUGGUAGAUUAUAGAUUAACUUGAUGAGCUGGUCGAGUUUAAUAAAAUUAGUUUAGAACAAUUUUUAUUUGAAUUAAAACAAAAAAGUGCUCCCAAGAGCUGAAAAUUACAAAAAGCAUCCCAAUUUACUGGUUAUUCAAAACAAGUAUCCAUCUGUAUUAAUUUCUCUAUAAAUGUUUCUAGAACUAGAACAUAAAAAAAAACUAAGAAAAUCAUUGUGCAUAUAAACUGAAUUCCUAUUUAUUAUGAUAGUGUAAUUAUUAUUUUUCCCUUAAAAAAAAUCAAUGAUUUUGAUGUUGGGGAUAUUUUGAUAUUUCACAAGGCCAGAUUGAUCAAAAAUAGAAUUAUCUUUUUAAAUUUUAAAGCACAAUGGAAUGAGCAAAAUUUUUAGAAUUAUCAUCUAGGAGCUUUUUAGUCAUCAUAUUUUUUUAUGCAUAGCAAAAUAACUCAAUUAUCCUUAAAGUUAAAAUUUUUAAAGCUUGUGUCCAGGGUUUUUCAUCUUUUAAUUAUGGUUUUUUUUUUGUUAUUAUAAACUUGAUUAAGAGAAAAUAGUCUUUUAAUAAAUAUAAAAUAAUAUUUUAAAGGAGAAGUUUGGCGUGUAGGAGACUUUCACGCCCUUUUAGCUGCUCAUGCGGCGGCAAAAAAAACUCUCUUCCACUAUGUUGUUAGAAUCUUCACGAUAUUCUCUUCUUAUUAGGGAAGCACAUAUAGGCGGAGGUGGCAUGAUUUUUCAUCGUUGACGUCCCCCUCUUCUUUUCUCUCUUCUUUUCUUGAAAUUCACGUUGACCAUUCAAAAAUACAAAAUUAUCCUCUUAGUUAUUGAUAUUUCAACUUAUAUCUUAAUUCUUUUUAUUUUUAAUUUUUGUUCUUGACCCUUUUGUAAAAAUUAUUUAUUUGUUUUUAAUUUCAUCAUUCAUUUCUAUUUUUAUAUAUAUUACUUUUUUCAAAUUUAGUUAUUAUUCUUUUAAUUUCUAUUUUUUUUUCUUUGUCUUUUUGUAGAAUUAUUAUUUAUUUUCAAUUUCAGUCUUCAUCCUAAUUUGUGAUUUAUUAUUUUCCAAUUUGAUCCUUACUUUUUUUUUUGUUAUUUUCUUUUCCUUUUGUUAAAUAAAUUUUUCUUUUUAAUUUCAUCCUUAUCAAUUAAAAAAUAAGCAACUAUUGUAGGUCUUCUCUAAUUUAUUUUUUAUUCUUAUUUUUUUAAUUGCUAUUUUUUUAAUCAUUUUGUAUAGUUUUUUUUUUUUCAAUUUCAUACUUAUUGGUUGAGUUUUUCAAAUAUGGUGUUUACAAUCUAAUGACUCGGGUCACGAGUUUAAAAAAUUAACAUCAUGCAAAUUAAUCAUUUUGCAACACUCACGAAACAAGAGCAUAGUUAUAUCAUUAAAUACAAGGAUAUUAAUUCUUUGGAGAAAAAUCAAAUGAAACUUUUUUAUUUAUGAUAUUACUAAGAGAGAAACAGAAUAUAGAAGAAUUCUUAUAUAUAAUUUUCUCCGGAGCUCUUGUAAACAUUCCAACGAAUGAGAGCUGAGCUUUUUCAUUCUAGAUAUGUCUUGUCUUGCUUCAAACAGGAGCAUGCUCUGCUUCAAGAUUGUUUGGUCCAUCAACUGAGACUAGACUUUCCACAUAACCAUCCAGAUGAUAGGAACUGAAAUAGGGAUUAAGAAAAUCAUAAAUUAUCUCAUGACUAAUCGGAUCAUAAAUCAAGAUGUGGCCAUCCCUUUUUCCGUUGACGAUCACCUUAUCUCCCCACGUAAAUACUUGAUGUAGAGUUCCUAAAAAUGGUAUGCUUAAGAAUUUUGUCCAGCUCUCUUCAUUGCCAACGCCUGAUCCACUCUCAUCUACUACCCAAAUAUCCAUUGUUAUGGACGUGGAGCCAUCGUAGGGAAACACACAGCAAGCAAGCGAGUCCUUAAUCCCACCUGAAACCAGCCUCACCUCUACCAGAGUCGACUGGUUCCAAGGGGGAAAAUUAAUCCAUCUAAACACAUGCUUAGCCGUAUCAAAUGCAAGGAUAAUGUCCCGUAAACCAUCCAGGUGCCAAUAGAACUCACCCUUCAGAGACACUGCUUGACCACGUGAACAAAAAUCAUCAGCUAGGAUCCUACAAUCAUAUACUAGUCUCCAAGAAUCUGUUCUCCAAGAGUACACCAAAGCUCGAAGAACAAAAUCGCGUUCUUCCUUCUCAUACAGUUGAUCAUCAUCAACAGCAUCGAAAUUCGGUGAGUGAAAGAGCCGUCCAAUUUUCACCAACAUGUAAUCGUUCAUCUUACCAUUAUGCCCGAACCCAUCCAUUAAAAGUUGGAAAUCCUGCUGAGGAUGUUUCACGUAUUUGAACUUUCUGGUAGCAGGGUUCCACAAAACAUAGUCUAUUCCAUGGUAGUCACAAAGCUUGAUGCAGAGCAAACCACCACUAGAACCUAUCAGAAUAAAAGAAAGGUUAGGAGAUAUUUGUGGGUUUAAGAAAUAAUUUCUCAUGAAGGUAUGAUUAUACAUCAGGGAUUGUGGUAUGUGUAGAGAAUGGAAAGUUGUGGUAUCUUUGCGGUGGAGAAAUGAUAGGGUACUGGAAUGUUCCGGCCAACGGAAUCCUCGUAAUAAGAUAGAGGAUUUUUGGGUGGAAUAUUUGUGGAGGUGGGCGGGGAUAAACUCAGGACUUGUGAUGAGAGAAUACCAGUCUUUUGACACUAAUUUGAAACGGAGUAGGGAUUUGACAGGUAGUCUCGUAAGAAUUUCGGUGAUAAUCUCUUCGGGGAGGAUGGAAACAGAGCCAUCAACCUUAUUUCCUCCGCUCAUGGGGAUGGAUCGAUUUCUUGAUGAAUUUACAGGAAGAGUAGUCGGCUUAGGGUUUCAACUAAUGGAGAGGAGGAGCAAACUAGGUUGGGUUGAAAGGAGAAAGAUAUUGAUGCCAAUAUAUAAGUUUAGGGUUUCAACAGAGGAUUUAUAUAUAUUAAAUAUAUUGCCGACCUAUUUUUUAUUUAUUUUUGGAUAAUGUUAUUUCACUCUCCUGUUUAUCAAUCCCACCCCAAUUGUUAAAUAAUAAAAAGAACUCUAAACUUAAUAUAAUACUGUUGAAAAUAUAAUUCAAACUUAAAAGUCAAAAAUACAAAAUUAUAUUUAAUUUCUUCAUACUUUUUAUAAGCUAAUUAAAUUAUGUUUGUUUUAAUUAAUUAGGUAAAUAUAUAUAGUUCACCAUUCAAAAAAUAUAAAUGAACCGAUAUAAGUUAAUAUGCCUCCUCAUAAAUAAGCUAAUGACAAUUGGAUCCAAUAAUAAAAGAUUAAUUAUUUACCAUUGCUAUAUGGUGCAAUAUCGACAUUUAAUUUUUUCAUUAAAAAUUAAUUUCUCUUUGUAUAUUCUAUUCUAGAAGAUAGAUUUUAUUUAAUUAAAUUUAUAAAUUUAUCUCUUUGUAUUUCUUUUUUUUAGUUUAACGUAGGUGUCCGGGCCAGCUUACGCGUACCUCGACUAAUCCCACGGGCCCUGAAGUUAACGACCAUGUAAACCUCCAGUGACCAUCAUAUGAGCAACCACAGGGUUCGAACCUGAGACCACAGAGAAAACAAACCUUUUGAUCCCAAACUUUUACCAUUGAGUCACCAUUUAAAUGGUUAUCACUUUGUAUUUCUAAUAUUGUUGGUUGUUGAUUCUUAUGUUUUUGCUAUUGAUAAUCCUUGAGAGGCUACAAGAUAAGAUUUCUCUUACAUACUCAACAGUAACUAUAUUGUUAAUCCAUGUGGGUCCCAUCUCCGCCCUCAGAGUUUGUCAUUGCUGUCUCACCGGAGAGUCUCUCCGUUAUGUAAAUCUGCUUGUUCUUUGACCCAUCAGUUUGAUAAAUUGGGUUCUAUAUUUGUUGCUGUUUGAAUUUUGCCCUUCUUGUCUUGCAUAUUAGCAACUGUAAGUAUGAAAUGAACAGAAUUGUUCAUCAAAAUCUCAUGAGCAACGAGCUAACCUGAAAUUCAUGAAAGGAGACUGUCCUUGCUGAUAUGGAUUUAUGCUAUAAAGGGAUGGUAUUUUGCAGGUAGAAGCAUGGAUAUGCUAGCAUUAAAUUCAGCUUUGAGAAAGAGGAACAUCUGAGCGGCCACCUAAUCCACUAUCAUCUUGGCCUCCUGAAGAAAUUCAUUGUUUUAUAUGAAGUGUUAGCUCCUUGAGUGCCAGAUGCAACUGAACCUACUUAGAGCUUCAGACUGAACCGAAAGCCCCCGCUAAAGCAUGCCAUACUUCAUACAUACCAAGUGUUUAAACCCAACGACGCAUGGGAAUACUUCCUCACUUGAGAAAGAUAAAAUCCAGCUGAUGAGCGCCUGAUCCUUCUGAAACUACUCUUCAUACAGUGGGUUUGGAUCCAGUAGAUUGUCUCUGCAUUAUUAAGCUGAGGUAAUGAGAGAAUUGCAGGAGAAAGGGAAGAUUUGGAAGAGGAAACUGUAGUGUUUGCCACUAGAGGCUCUGAUUCCAUAACUAGAGAAGAAACCUAACCAGCUAGUUCAAAUACAAAAAUCUACACUGAUACAAGUCCUUCAACAUGCUGGAUCAUUCUAUAUAUAAUUGCUGUUGUUGGGUUUUGCUGCUGAAAUUUGGAUGGCGGUUUUGGAUUGAGUAUAUAUCACCAUUAAAGAAAACACUCAAACACCAAACACAUAAAUACUUGUCUGCUUCUGGACAGGACAGGACAGGACAGGACAGGUUUAAGAAUAUGAAUAUUGUUGGAAAGCUUUGCAACUGAUUUGACUUCAUUUUCCCGGGCCUUCUGACAGAAAUUCAUACAAUAUUAUUGCUUACAACAAACAUUCUAUGUAUUCAUCAUGAGUUACAAUUAAUUGAAUACAGGCCGUGUGUUUUUUUUUUCUGCGUUACCCCCAUCCAAGACCUGUCCCGCUGCGUCUUCUCUUCUCCUAGUACUUCAUCCAUGUCCAUGUGGUGGACUUAUUGCGGGAGAAAAGAUUCUAGGAGGUAUUUGCCUUGCGCUCCGAUGCACUGGAAGAUUUUCUGUCAUUCAAUGCCAUUGGUAAAGAGGAAAUGUUAGAAAUAAAAUGAGAAGCCAAAACACAGUGCAUAGAACUGAAAAACUCUUUGGGAUAUUUGACACAGAUAAAAAUAGAACAUGAAGAAAACAAGCACAGGCAGCACAGAAUUCUGCCGAUUAGAGUCAUCAUAUAGAAAUUCUAAUUCGAAGUUUUAUUACUAGAUUUUUCUUUUUAAAUAGUUUUCUGAAAUACAAACUAAACAAUCUUAUUUAUACUAGCGGUAAGCCUAAGCUGAAAAAGAAAAAUCUAGGUUAUUACCUCAUUAUCAAAAGAAACUAGGGAUACUAGUAGAUCAGAGGAGAGAAGUAACAUAUAUAUUAUUACUUUAAUUACUUUCGUACCUUGAAUAACUGAGAAACCAGAAAUUCUUGCUUCUGUAAACAGAAAGUAAGAACAUAUUAUUGUUGAUAACAGUAAUACGUAAGCCACAAGCAAAGCCCUUGAAGCAGCAAUCCGAGGAAGCCUGAGCAUUUCGUUACACUCUCAAGAUUGUUUGGUGGUCGUGUAGGGAUGAACUUUUAGUGCCUCUUACUUAUAAUGAGUCUUGGCUUCCUGUUUGAAGUUUGAAACCGCGUUUCUGAUCAUUCAACAGAUGACCAUUGAGAGAUUUUCUAUACAAAGAAUACCGUCCAGUCAUGGAUGAUGAAACAACCUUUAUUUUUCUCAUGGUGGACGAUGACUUCUUUUCUUUCUGGGAUUUAGUAAAAAAUAACAAAUAUUCUAAAAGCAGAAAAAAAAAUUCAGAAUAGAAGCUUUAUAAAUUACUAGGUGGACCUGAAGAUUAAUCAAUGAAUUUCUUUUUGAAGACUUGAUUUAUCAAAAAUUAAAUGUACUUAUUAAAAGACUUGAUGCGUGGGAAAUGGUUGCAAGAAACUAAGCAGCCUUGCUUUGCUGACCCUGGAUGUACUUUCGCAGAAUUGGGUAUUUCUUUUGUAAAAAGUGCAAAUUAGUCCUUCAAGUCUAUUGCAUGUUACAUUUGAGUAUGUUACUUUAAUUGUUAAUUAUUGAAAGAGUGUUUUGGAACAGAUGUAUUUAAUGAUAAAGUUUUAAAACAUAAUAUAAUUCAGUAGAAAAGGUUUAAGCAUGGCAAUUUGAACCCAAGGUGCUGCUUUACUCGCUCUAGGUUAAAGACCAGCUAUUUGACUUGUGUUGGUUAUAAUUUUUUUAAUAAAAAAAUAUAUAUGCAGGGCAUUCUCAACGUAUAUUUAUACAUAAAACAUUAUAACUUUAAAUUAAAAAGUUUAUAUAUACAUGUUAAAAAAUUAAAAUAUAUAUAUUAAUAAUAAAUAAAGAUAAAAAUAAAAAAUUAAUAAAUAUAUAUAAAUUUAGAUAUUUAACAUUACAAGAAAAAUAAAUUUUUAGAGCAUCUCUAAUGCAACAGCUAAAAAGAGAACUAAAAUGAAAAAACAGUAUUUUUACCUUUUAUUUUUAGUUUUAAUCAUUGUAAUGACUAAACUAUAUGAAUAGCUAAAAUGUUUAUUUUUAUUUUGAAAAGUUAUUUUUAUAUUUCUAUGUAGAGAAGCUAAAAGUAAUUGAAAUGACAUAUAUCUGUUAGCUAGCCUUUUUCCUUUGUUUUGUAUUAAUAACAUCAUAAUUAUAUUAUAUAAAAAAUAACUAAAUUAGUUAUAUAAUUAUAUUAAAAUUAGUUUAACAUAAAAUAUAUUAAAAUAUAAUUGGUUCUUUUAAAUAGCUUUAUAUUAUUGGAAUACAUAUAUAAAUAAAAAGUUAUAUUUAUACUAUUUAAAAAAUUAUUUUAUCAAUUUAAUUCUUUAAUCAAACGGGUAAGAUAAAAGUAAAAUUUUCUUAAUUAAUAUGACAACCACAGCUUUGGUCUGGAUCUACGUUCCUCUAAUGGCUUUCCAAAGUCCAUUCAUAGUAUUGUAUGCAAUUCUAAAUUCAAUUCCCAGAGAAGUUCUCAACAGAAAUUACCAGCUAAUAGGGUGCAGGAUUAGGACAACCUCAAAACACUGACUGGGCUCUUUCACUUUCUUGAACUGUCUGGUAGCAGGAUUCCACAAACCAUAGUCUAACCAGCUGCAAUAACUAAAUCAUCCGGCAAGUCAUCUGCAUCAUAAACUGCUAACCUCUUGUCUUUUUGUUUGCUGCAUCAAGAUAUAUAGAUUUGAUAACAGAAGCUGUGUUCCUUAGUUUUUCAAGCUCAUCCUUAACACCCCAUUUCAGUCCUAUCUCUUUCGAGGUUCUAUAGUUUUCCCAAGAUUCUAAUAGUAAUACUGAACAAAACAGCUUCUAUCAUUUCAUUUGCUGGUUGAUUAAAUUUUGGGAGAUGGAAAUCCAAACUAUAAUUGUUUUUUGUUUUUUUUUAGCGGCAGGGAAUUUUUUGCUAUAAAUGCCUUGACAAUUGAUUAGCAAGAAAUAGCUAACAAGACAAGAAAAUGGCAAAGAUUGUGCUGAAAGGAACUGGAGCUGUGCAGAGGAUGAAGAAGCAUACAAAUCUUGCAUAUGAAGGUGGGGGUGAUGACGGUUGACUUCAAUUGAUGACAAAAUAUGGCACCUAUUGUUAAGUCUAUAAUGGGACCAACUGCAACAAACUAUGAAUGUAAUAUGCUUCUGUGAACAUUAUUCAUCACUGUUAUCAUGCUAACGUUCUCAUGAUCUACCAUAAAAAUGAUAAUGCAUGGCACUGGUUUGUGUUUGCAGUCGUGGAACUAUGUGUAAAAUGGCGUGUAGUGUACCUUUGUUGCAUUGCUGUGGUAAUCUGAAACUUGUUUAUUUGAACCUUAAGACAUCUGAAAUUGCAUAAUUAGCAUUAACAACAGACCUUACUUAACUGCCCAACAACAUACAUUAGUAACUGUCCAUUUUAGCAUUUUUCGAUAUAAUCAUUCAGGUUAACAAAGCUUUGGAUUUGUAUUUGCAGUCUGACAGACAGAAGUCCAGUACCUCAUAUUCAGUUUUGAAAGGAUUAGCCAAGACCUGAAUGACUUCAAGGUACCCGGGUGUGAUAUCCAACCUAAAUGCAACCUUAUCAUAGCUCUACGACUAUGAACUUAAAAGCAAUAUGUCUCUUCAGAAAAAGAAAAAUGUGCCAAAAUUUUAGCAUAAACAGCUCGAGAGUGAAAAUCGCAUUCUACGACUUUGAUCCCAGCUGAAUAUGAAAAUGCUAAUCAAUUUGACACAGCUUACAGCACAAAUAAGAAACGCACAGUACAGACAUUAUGCAUUGAAAGUUGCUGUUACAAAGGGACUGAAUCCCAGAUUUUAUGAUUUGAAGAAAAAAAAAAUAUAUCGAAGCAAAAAGAUGCAGAAUUUUUUCUACAGCGACAUGAAUCUAUAAAUAAAAAUUACUUCAUAAACUUCUCUGGAAGAACUCCCAAAUUCUCUCUUCCAUGUAAAUUCGGUCAUUAUGCCGACGGGGCAUGUGUCGUUCAUCAGGGAAAAUUAAUAGUUCAUAGGGUUUUCCAGCUGCCACGAGUGCAUUGACAAGCCUUGCAGUGUGUCUAAAAUGCACAUUUUCAUCAAUCAUGCCAUGCACCAGCAACAACCUCCCUUUUAACUUGUGCACAUGAUGCAUCACAGAGCCGUACUCGUAGCCCUUUGGAUUAUCAGAAGGCAAUCCCAUGUACUUCUCAGUGUAAAAUGUGUCAUAUCCAUCCCAGGAGGUUACAGGUGCACCAGAGACAGCACAACAGAAUACAUCAGGGAACCUUGCCAAGAUCACAGCUGACAUAUAUCCACCAUAACUCCAUCCACACAACCCAAUGUGGCCAGCUUUUGCCAAUCCUUGUUUAAUGAGCCAUUCUGCUCCUGUAAGCUGAUCCUCUGCAUCAAAGCGGCCAGGAUUUCCUUUCAGAGCACCUUCAAACUUUAGCCCACGGCGAGCACUUCCUCUAUUAUCCAACUGUCAAAGGAGAAACAAAGAGGGGCUCAGGGUAACGAGCUUUCACUUUAGAAAAAGGUGAGAUGUUAACGCGAGGCAUGGGCUGGUUUCUAUUUUCAUCAUUAUCCAUCGAGCAACUAAUCUAUAAGCUAGUUAGAAAAUGUCAUUACUAUGAGAUCUCUCCAAAUUAACAUGCAUAUACACUAGUAAAAGGACAAUUCCCGGUCUUUUUGAAGCUCGACACACGUUAGAUUUCUGUGCAUGAUCAUUGAAACAACCACCAAUUUCAGAUUUGACAGCAUUCCAUCUCCAAAAUUUUGGGGACUGAAUGAUUUCAACAUCUAAGUAUGCACCUAUGUUAAACAAAUGAAUCACAAAAAUGUGAGCUUCCAUUCAGCAGAAUGAGCAGCAUUGUUAUAAAUAGGGAAAAAACUUGAUCAGGGAUCCGAACAGGCAAUCAUCUGUGGGCAUAAAUGGCAGAAUUCAACCAUUUAUGUAAUUUUAGGGAAGAAGGUAACAAAUAUACUCAUUAGUAUGACUAGACUAGGAAUUAAAAACAGUAAAAUAAAAAUCAAAUUACGUAUACAGUCAAGAUGUCUAAGUUGAAAAUACUAACCUUCCACACUAAGAUGCCUUGGCUCCGAAGAUAUUGAGCUCUCAUGUCAGCUGUACCUAUCCAAGAAUCACAUACAUACUGUACACCGGGGCCUCCAUACACACUGAUCACGGUUUUGUAUGGUGGUGGUCCAAAUCUUGUAGGGUCAGGGUCAUAUAAAGCCCCAUACAAUAUGGUCCCGUCAUUUGCUUGUAUCUGAACUAUCUUUGGAGGCUCAAGUUCCAGCCUUUUAUAUCUUGGAAUGGUAAAAGACUGCUCAAACAGAGACAUAAUUUCUCUUCCAUCAAACAGGGAGCAGAGAGAAACUCUUGGGGGAGAAUCAAGGGAAUCAUGGAUAUCAACAAAAUUCUGCAAGUGGUGAUCAAGGACAACCGAGUGUUUCCCUUUACCAUUUGUUAAUCUCACCGGAGCCUGCAAGGGAUUGUUUUCAAUUGGAUACAGUUUAGCACGGUAAAGAUGUGAUUCCAAAGGCCCAUCUAGAGUUGCAGUAAAAUAUAUGAUCCCUGCAGCCUCAUUUACACCGGCAAUUUGCUCAACCAUCCAUUCACCUUCAGUAAUUGGUCCUAAGCAUGCCCCAUUGGCAUCAUGCACACACAAAUGCCUAAAUCCUGACUUUUCACUCGCCCAAAUGAAUCCUCCAGAAUAUUUAGUGAUUCCUUUGUCCAAAGGAGUGAAGCAGUCAUGUAAAUUAAUCCAUGGGAGUUGUUCUUCUGCAUAUAACACCUCUUUUUUCCCCGUCUUAAUAUCAAACUUAAGAAGUUUUAAUUUUGAAUGAGACCUGUUCAAAACUUGAGCUAUGAGAACAUUUCCAUGCAUCCAAUUGACUCGGGCCAAAUAUUCAUCCUCAUUAUCUGGUUCUUUUGUUCCUCCACAUAGAAGAUCCAUCCAAGUUAUAGAAUCACCAUGAACAGAAACUACCCCAAGGCGAACUUUGACAUUUGAAGCUCCAGCAAAGGGAUAAGGAUGAUCUUCCUGUGCUUCUGAACCUACAGAGCUUUUGCCUUGGUGCAUAAUUCUAAAAAGAGGUAUCUCAGAUGAAUCAACUUGUGUAAAUGCAAUGAAUUUGCUGUCAAGUGACCACCAGUAACCAUUCUUCCGGUCCAUCUCCUCCUGCAAUCAACAAAUUAAAAAACCUCCGGUAAAAAGUUAAUUUUACUAAAAAAAUAAAAAAACCACAGAAUCUAGUACCAUUAUGAAAUCAACCUAGCAACUGAAUAAAAGUAAAUUAAAUUUUGCUGAAAAGUAAAAGUAUUUGCAAACCAUCAGUUUCAAGUUAACAUAUAUGUGGAGAUGGAAAAACAGGAGUAAGGAUGAAGUUCUCACCUGAGCUAUAUAUUCAGCAAGGCCAUGAGUCUGUAAAGCAAGAAAACACAAAAGCACUGUCAUAUUCAAAUCAGAAGACUGGUGCAGAACAAAUAAAAAUGAAAUGAAAAACAAUUCAAUUACCAAAACCAAAUAUUAAUAUUUUGUUUUGACAUUUUUCAAUGUUUCUAGCUUAUAGUGGUGGCCUUAUUUUGAGUUUGAGCAUGAUGUAAAGCCGUCAAAAUAAUUCUAUUGUAGAGAGGAAGAGAAGAAAACCAAAGCUGGAAAAACUAACAAUUUCUAUUCUGUCCAAAGAUCUGAUGGGCCAAAUUGCAAAGAAAAUAAUUAAUUAACAAUGAUAGUGGUGGUUACAGUAGAUAGAGAUGUAGGGGAAAACGCAUGAGCAGAUCCCACAUGGUUGGAAGUUCAAAUUCAAAGCAUACAUUGAGUGAUAAUUAUUCUGUAAUCUCUGUGGAUAUCAAAUUUUAAUCACUAAGGCAGUUGAAGAGAAGUUGAUCGAUUAAUUUUAGACAGAUCAAUGACGCAGUAAAUAAAGACUGAUGGAUACAUGUGAUCAUAAUGAUAUUGGUAACUCGUAAAAUCAUAUAUUACUCUUGGACAGAAUCUAUAGCUCUAAUGGCUAGCACAAGUCACAGAUAAAAUAAAAAAUUAUCUGACCUCCAAUGAAUACAAAUAAUUGGAAACUUACCACUGUAUUUCCCUGAGCACCAUGUGUUAAUUGUUUGGACUCGUUGUACAAUAAAUUUAGAACAUGCAGCUCACUGUCCCUUAUAUAAGCAAGCAUGGUACCAUCAGGAGAGACAUGUGGAUCGAUAACAGGGGACAAUGCAGAGCUGGGAAGCUUGAGCUCUGGUUUUGAAGAGUGCAGUUCCUGUAAAUAAAGCUGUGCAUAUAGAAAAGGUCCUAUCAUCAGCACAGCUGAAUAAUUUUAACUUGCAGCAUUGCUUGCAACAGUUGAAACUUUAGUUAAAUUUGAUAGUCACUUUUAAUCCAUAUGCAGUCUAUACUAUCAUACCUAGUUCUAAAAUCACCAAGUUGAUUGAACUGGCUGGACUGCAUUUGAUUGUAUUUAGAACUGUUAUACUACCCUGACUCACAAGGGAAUAGAAGAGAUAAUUCUGGCAAUAGGCAAUCUAAAAGAUCAGAGAAGACCUAGCAAAAUGUACAAAUAUAGUUCCGCUAGCACAGUUAAGUCCAAAUACAGUUCCGCUUUGAAAAUUUGAGUUCAAGAUCACAGAGCAAUGACCAAAUACAGUUCCGCUAGCACAGUUUAGUCCAAUCAGAACACUUCUUCAUUCCUUCGAAGUCCAAACCUUAAGGACUGUAAAGUCUAUGUUCAUUGUACUUUACAGAAAAUGUAAUAAAAUAAAAGGUUCCAACAACCAAAAUGCAAAUGAUUAGAAAGAGGGCAUUAACUGUUAAAAAAUCAUUACUGGAAAAUCAUACAAAGUGAUAAGUAAAAGAGGUGAGGGAACAAACCCCUGCAGGCAGUGGCACCAUAAUUGCUUUCUUCUUCGAACCUGUCUUCACCCAUUCAUAACAUGUCACUCCCAGCCCACGUUGCCUUAACCUCUCCCUUCGCAACUUCUCUUCCGGUGAUAUAUUACUCUCAUCAAGUCCACCAUCAGGGGGGCCAAAAAACAAUUCUUGCUUGCCACUCUUGAGAUCAAAAGCAAAAACCUUCCUACUCAAGGUGUGAUCAGGACUAAAUAAGUAAGUAAGUAAACUAUCAUCAGCACUGAAACCUAUCGAAGUUGGCGCCUCAUAUCCAGGCAACGGGGAUUGCACUAUCUCUUCAAUAGGAAAAAGAAUACUGUCCUCAACAUUUUGUGGGAUGGUGUUAUCAGUCAGAGGCAUAUCGUUAUUUAAUGAUCUCAAUAUCCUUAAUUUCUUGUUCUGGCUCUCGUUCUCAUCAACUGAUUGCAUCACAUAUGAACUAAAAUUCUAUAAACUAAAUUGCAAGGCAGCAUGAACCUAAACCACAAAAAAAAAAAAAGGAAAAAGAGCAGGAAACCAAUCAAAUAUUAUUUUUGCUACUUCAAAAUCUAUGAAAAAUGGAACUGAUUAACAUAAUUUAAGCUUCUGAAACAAAUCAGCUUCGAUUAAAACCGAAACUUUUACUGAAACAAACCAACACUGGAUACAAAGUAAGAGACUUUAGUACUUCUAAAUUUUUACCCCCAUUUUCUCGUCACUCAAAUGAAACAUAAGCAAAACCACUUUAGAAUUAGGCAGAAUUGGUCAAAGUUCCAGUCUUUUUAUCAUUUUCUACUGAACAGAGAGAAGAAAAAUAAAAUAAUUGAAAGAAACAAAUAAAAAAAUCAAUAGUCCAAAUCACCAUUACCUGCUAAGAAGCUCCACUGAUUGGUCCACUAUCAAGAGAAACAAUCCAGUGGAUCCAAUCACAUGCUACUGAACUGCACUCAACAAGCUUUUCCCAGUAAGAGGAAAUGGAUUCUACUAUUUACCUCAAAAGAGAAUUGAUUUAAUCAGCCAUGAAAGUGAGCUCAAAAGAGAGAGAAAGAUUUUGAUUCGUUGGAAGCAUCAAAGUGUAAGUUAGAUUGAGAAUCUUGAAUUCCUAGAGGAAUUGGAUUCUCCUUGCAAGUUUCAGAGAGACAAAUGAGAUAUGUUAAACGAAAAAAAACGAAAAACAUAUAUGGCAAUGAAUUCUGGUAAAAUAGUUUUUAUGAGGUUGUUACACGCGUUAAUAACGGCGCGUUGUGUUUAGAUGUUAGGCAAUGAAGUCUGGUAAAAUAAAGAUGUUUUAUUCUUUAAAAAAAAAAAUCGAUGAUUAAACUUGAUUAGAUAAACUAAAUUAUUAAAAAAAAUCAAUAUUUUAUUUUAAUUCAAAUUAAAUUUUAAAUUUCUCAUACCAACUCAUUAUAAUUAUAUUGGUCUGAGUUUAACCACUAUACUAAUUAUUAAUAUUUAAAAAAACAAGAAAAUAGUUGAAGAAAUGUUGCGUGACAUAUUUUGUGAGAUUGAAUCUUACUACAAAGUAAAUUUAUCAACAUUUAAGUAAUGUGUAACAAUCUAGUAGCUGGUACAGAGAUAAAAGCUUGGAACUAAAAACUAAAAGGUUAACUCCUCCUAUGGUCUCAGAUUCGAACUAUGUAGUUGCUAAUAUGAUGGCCACUGGAGGUUUACAUGGUCGUUAACUUCAGGACCCGUGAGAUUAGUCAAGGUGCGUGCAAGCUAGCCCAGACACCCACGUUAAUAAUAAUAGUAAAAAAAAAAAAGAUAAUGUGUAGAUUUGGAUAGAAUUAAAGGUAUCAUAAUUUUUUAGCUAAUUUAACAAUUUGAUCCUCCCAAAAUGGGUAAAAAUAGAGCUGAAUGUGUAAUUCUAAAUAAAAUUUGGAUUGUUUAGCUUUCUAAUUAAAAAAAAAAUAGAUAUGAACUAUUUAAAUAUUUAUGCCAUAUAUGGUAUAAAAAAUAAUAUUAUGAGAAUAAAUAAGAAAAUAAUAAUAUUGUAGGAAUAAAUAAGAAAAAUUAAGCAAUAAUUUUAUCAGGCACAUAUAUGGAAUAUGGUUUCUCCCUCUUUUACUUUCAAUUCUUACAUUUUCACUCCCAACUUUUUAGCUUCCAAACGCAUUGUAAGUAUCAAGUUUAUUUUAAGAAAAGUUAUAUUUAUUUAUAUUUAAUUUAUUUAUAAAGUUAAUCCAUCUAUGACCUCUCAUAAUAAAUGAAUGGAUUUUCUCAUAAUUUUCCAUUAAAUCUCCUUAAAAAAACUAUUUUCUGUAUAAAAUAUUCACAUCAACAUGGAAUAUUAACGGCUAUGGACAGACGGAUCAAUAGAUGAAUUUCAAACAAUCAGAACCCAAUUGAUAAAAUUUCAUGUAUUAGGAUGAAUUUGGGAGUUUGAUAGUAAAUUAAGGACCAAAACCAAGUGUGUGUCUAUAUUAUUAUUAUUUAAAAAAAAAAAAAAAAAGACACGACAGACAAAAAGAAUAUUAGGUAAAACCAAAGUGCCAGUGGUGAUUCACUGCCCGUACGACACGUGUAUGCCCAUACGACUAUAAAAGUCAAAACGGAGCUUUUUGUUUGAAGGUAUAGAAUAAGGGCUCCAUUGAUGUUGAGUCCUUAUCAAAUCAUUUUAUGUGCGCAAGUGGGGCUUGAUCUUGAAUUGACCAAUCAAGGGUUGCCAAGUUUCAUCUUUGAUCUUGAAGUCAUUGUGUAAAGAUUGGACCCGCCAUGGAUAGUUGUUUUUUUGCUCAUUUAUUAUUUAUUAUUUAUUAUUUAUAGGAACAUAAUUUAGUUGGGAAAAGUUGAGAGUCAAAACUCAAUAACUUAUCGAUUCGGGUUUUAGUUUGAGCUCAGUUUUAUCUUCAAUGUGACGGAGUUUGGAGUUUGGAAAAUAUUUUUUAAAAAUUAAAAAAUUUUAUUUUAAAUUAAUAUGUUUUUAAUAUUUUUAAAUCAUUUUGAUGUGUUAAUAUAAAAAAUAAUUUUAAAAAAUAAAAAAAAUAUUAUUUUAAUAUGUUUUGGAAUGAAAAACACUUUGAAAAACAACUGUUACCAUACUCUCAAACACCCUUACCGACCUCGUUGAACUUCAUAAAUAUAGUAAAUCAACUCGUAAUCUAGGCUAUCAAUUUAAAUUUUAAUUAGAAUAAAUAUUUUUUUUAAAUAAUAUUAUUUUAAUUUAAAAAAAUCUUAAAAUACAAUCAAUUUAGAUUUUCUUGACUAAUCCGAAUAUUAAACCAAAUCAUGAAUCGAGGCAGAUUUUAUAACUAAAGAAACGACUCUAGAUUAUGUAAUUUUAUAAUUGACUUGAAGAAAAAAUAAUUAAUAAGAAGUGUCGGCAUGAUCUUAUAUCACAUAUAAUGAGAUAUUAUGAGUUCUCUUGAAUCACCGAUACUAAUUUUUUUUUUAAUUUAAUGUGGAUGUCCCGAUCAGUUUGUGCGCACCUCGAUUGAGAUGUUUGGUAGACUAAUAUGCUUUAGACUAUUCUCACCUUCCUGUAAAUUAUAGUCCAUGAUGAUCUCCUUCAGGGCAGACAAGAUGAAGAAAAUAUUUUUUUUAGUUUUCAUAUAUAUUUCUCUUUGUUUAGAAAUAUAUUUAUUAAACACAAGAAUCUCAAAAUAAAAAAAAUAAAAAAAAACAUAAAAACUUGUUUGAUCUACAUUAAAAAUAAUUGCAGAAAUGAAUAUAUGAGAUUAGGUUAAACAAAAGAGAUUUUUUUUUUACAGUGAACAAUUCGAAAAGUAAUUUUUUAUUUUCUAAGAAACUGAAAAGAAUUACUCUAUUUUUCAAUUUAAAAACCCACUAACUUUUCCAAGAUUUAGUUUCCAUAAAUUACAUUUUUCAAUAUGUUGUAAGGCCAAGGUGAUGGAUAUGGAUGGGGGUAGGUUAACCAAAAAAAAAAUAUAAAAAGUUAAAAUAAUAUUAUUUUUAAAAGGUAACUUAAAAAAAUAUUAUUUUAAUAUUAGAUAACCAAGGGUUAAAUACGCUGCAUAAUUUCAAUUCCAUGCUCCUAUCUGAUUAAUUGAAGCCCAGCCCACAGUGUCUUAGACAAGUCCAGUCCCCAAAAACAGGCCCAUAUAUUCAAAGAGACGAACCGGAGUUUCUUUACUUUUCCAAGCCCACCAAUCCUGAUUAUGGACCAAUCCAUCUUUAAGUGCAAGCCUAUUAAGGCUACGAUUUUGAUACAAAAAUCCAAGGAACCGUUGAUAUUAAACCCGGGCUGAGUGCCAGGUCACACGGGUUUAUCCUGAUUAACCUAAAAAAAUUAAAAAAUAUAUUUGAGGUUUUAAUAUCUUACAUUAAAAAAAUAUAACUUUCUUCUUGUGAACAUAAAGUAUAUAUAUUAGGCCCUAUUUGUUUGCUGGAAAGUAGUUUUUUUUUGGAAAGUGAAUUCCAUAAAAGUGAAUUAUUUUCUGAUGUUUGGUAGUGUAAUAAAAAAUAAGUUGGAAAACACUUUUCAAUGUUUGGAUAUGUCAUGGAAAAUAAGAUGGAAAAUAACUUAUUAAUGUUUUAUUUUUCUCAAGUUUAUUAAAAUAACAAGGAAGAAAUCUUACAAAUUAAAAAGUUGAAUGAAAAUAAAAUUGAAAAAAAUAAAAUUUCAUAAAUUAUCUCAAAUAAAAUAAAUAAUAAUCAAAAUAAUAGAGAUCAAAUCUAAAAAAUAAAAAAAUGAAAGAUGAAGAAAUUAAAAUAAUAAUAAUUAACAUUUCAUAAAUUAUUUCAAAUAAAAUAAGUAACAAUCAAAAGAAUGAGGACCAAAUUUGAUACAUAAAAAAUUUCAAUAAAAAAAUGAUAAGGGAAAAGCAAAUAACAAUUAUAAAAAUGAGGACCAAAAUUAAUAUAAAAAUUAAAUUUUAAGAGAUGAAAUUGAAAAAUAAAUAUUCAAAACAAAAUAUAUAUAGCAAUCAAAAGUUUGAGGACCAAAUUUGAUAUAAUCAGCAAAUAAUAUGACAUUUUUAAAUUUUUCACAACUUCCGGAAAGUGUUUUCCGUCUAAAUUUUCCAGGAAAACACUUUCCUGGAAACCAAGCCAAAUUUUCCUUUGACUGGAAAGUGUUUUCCGUUGACCAAUUUUUCUAAUGGCAAACAAACACAGGAAAGUUUGGAAAGUGGUUUUUCAGAAACCACUUUCCAAGAAACAAACACAGCCUUAAUGGGCUUUCAAUCUCAUACUAAAAAAAUAAAACCUUCUUCUAGUGUUUAUAUAGUAAACUUCGAUAUAGGUAGUAACUAAUAAGAAAAAGAUGAUAAGCUCAUGUGCAUAAGAUGGGGAUGAGCAAGAGGAAAACAUCUUAUUGCUCUUAUGAAAAAAGUGGACGUGAAAAAAAAAAACAGGUUUAUGCUCAAACCAGGAUGACCCAACAAGUUAUAUAGUUUUCAGACCUGGAUGGGAUCUUACCUUGUUAAGGUCCAAGCUAUUGGGUUGUCGAGUCAACCUAUGAUUUAUUGGGUAAACUUAAGUCAAACCUAAAAUGACUUUGUUUUAGACACAAUUAAAGAAAAAACAACAUUAUUUUGGUAAAAUUUUUUUUUGAAGUUAACCUGAUUAUAUCUCACCUUGAUUUGGAUGAGUCAACCUAGCUGUUAGUUGAUAUUUUGAGUGACCUUUGUUUGAACGGAUCAAUGUUCAAAAUGAUUCGAAAAAAAAAACCCUACCCAGAUCAAGGUAAAGCUCUAAAUCAAUCUAUCAUGAUUAGCCGGGUUUCAUAACAAUGUUGUGUAACAAUUACUAGACAACCUAUUAACCCCUGCCGCAUGAGGAGUGCCAUGAUUUCUUGCGAGAUAGGCUUGAUGGUUAACGACGUGCUUAAGUUGUGCGGUUUAGGUGCACACAACAAGAGCUCAAUUUUCUACAGUAUCAGGCAUGAACAAGCCCAUCAGGUACGUGUUCAAGGAUCCUUGUCAAAUUCAAGAAAAAUAAACAUGCGAUCUAAAAGACUUCCUUCUAUAUCACACAUUAAUUUGAAAGAAAUUGUACCUGCUUGGAAAUUUUAUUUCUUGAACAUUUAUGACAAGCACCACCUUAAAGAUUUCCGAAACAUGUUACCACAAACAUUUCUGCUGCUGCAAAACAUGAUAUAUUUGGUAAAGUAUCACAAAGACAGCUCUAUGAUUGACAAACCUACUCCUCCUAUCUGACACAGACAAGCAUCAUUUCAACAAUCAUGCACAACUUCAACACACACAUCAAGUUAAAUCUCCACCCCCUCCUCCUUUUCUGCCUUUCCAAGCAAACUAGUGGCUGAAGCAGUAGCCAUAUCUCAAGUAAGAUAAGGUACUGGCAACUAGUUUAUGCAACUAAAAUCACACUUUGCACCUAAUCUCAUCCUCUUGGAAACAUAAUAAAAACCCUCCCUAUCCCCUCUUUGGGACAUCGAACACUUGAACAAGCAUCACUUGCAUAGUUGCAUUUCGAACACUUGAACAAGUAUCACUUGCGUAGUUGCAUUUGCAUUUUUGCAAAGCUUCCAAGCUGUGCAGAGAGCAAAACCUGAAAACCACAAAGAUGAAGCACCAUUUUUCAGUCUUCUUAUUUCCAGCUAUCCUUCUCUUGCUCCACUGCACCCAAACACUAUCCCAGACACCUACAGCAGCACCAGCAAAAGCACCUGCUGCAGCCUCUGCACCUCCGCCAGCUGCGACCUCGUCUGCACAGGCCUCCCCGCCUGUUAUGGUUCCUGUACAAGUUUCAAAAGGUCCUGUCAAUGUCAUUAAAAUCCUUCAGAAGGCUGGCGGCUUUGCGGUCUUUAUCCGUCUUAUAAAAUCCACUCAAGAGGACAUCCAAGUAUUCUCCCAGCUCAAUGACUCGAGAGAUGGUGUCACCAUCUUUGCCCCUACUGAUGGGGCCUUUUCAGCCAUUAUCAAAUCAGGCGUUCUUAACUCCCUAAGUGAUCAUCAGAAGAUUGAGUUGGUGCAGUUUCAUAUUAUACCAAAAAUUCUUACAACUGCUAAUUUUCAGACUGUCAGUAACCCUAUAACGACACUGGCAGGAUCUGGUAGUCGUUUUGCUCUUAAUGUGAUAACCACAGAAAAUAUGGUGAACGUAACUUCAGGACUUACCAAUACAAGCGUAUCGGCAAUUGUAUACACUGAUAGCCAGCUUGCUGUCUAUCAGGUCGACAAGGUGCUACUUCCUUUAGAUAUUUUUGCCCCUAAAGCUCUUGCUCCUGCACCAGCACCACCAAAGCCUAAAAAGGAUGAUGGUGCAGACACUCCUAUGGUUCCAAAGGAUAUUUCUGGUGCAGUAAGCUGUGUCAUGCUUAAUACUAUGCUUAUCUCCGGAGUUAUCAUAGUUGCUGCAGCUUUUCCUUUGUGACCCUGGUGUUUUGACAAGGUAUCAAUUUCUUCAUCAGUGGUUCAUGAUUCUGCUGGUUGUAAUGAACUGUGGUGUUUAACAGGUUCAUUGCUUUGAAUAAUUGUCAUUUCCUCUCAAUUCUAUUUGUGUUCUUCCAAGUUUGUAAAUAACUCUGCCUUUGAUUUUUAUUUUUAUUUAUUGGUUAUUGCUCUUAUUCUGCUUUCAUGUAUUCUGUGGAAUUGUAAUUUAUAUCAGAGAAAAAGAAAUAUAAUGUUGAUGUGCUUUGAUUUUUCAAUCCUACAUUAAUUUGGAAGCAAUCAAAUUAACAUCUUGAAAUUCACAUUUAUAUUAUAAAAUCACCUCUCUGCAUCAAAGCAUCUCCUCAAACACUGUAACAAAUGGCCAGAAAAUUUCUGCUGCUGUGAUGCAAUGUACACAAUCAAACCAUGAACCAAGUAAGCUUUAUCAACUCUCCAUUGAAGACAGUUAGAAAAACCAAAAGAUUGCGACUUAAGUUUUUCUAGACCUUGUAUCGAUGCUUGUGCCGACUCCAACAUCUUUUUAGUAUAACUGAUCGAAAGUGCCUCGUCGCUAGAAACUACAUGGUUGAUACCUUUCUGCUACAUUUGUUAAUCUUCAACUUCAGAAGUUAGCUGUAAACUAGGAAUUAAAGACAAGGUUAUAUCCCUGGAAGAAACAACAUGGUAAUGUUAUCCUUGAAAUUACACGAUUGACUUUAGACAAAUAUUGGACGAAAAUUUUUUCCAAAUUCAACUACUCCAUUUCACUUGAAACACCUGCAAACUACCAACAGUAGAUGCAACUACGAAAGGAGGAAAGCGAGAAAUCAUCAGCCAAAGGAGCAAAAAAUCCUAGCACCAUAAAUGAUUAAAAUCCACUUGGAGGAGCAUAAAAAGGUUUAAGGAUGAAGCACAUUAGUGCUACAUAACAUGAACUUAAUCAUACAAAUAUUACAGGAAAAAUUAGCAUUCAUAACCUUUUUGCAUACAGAUUCUUCUUCUUGUUAUUCCUGAAGAGUACAAGCUGAAGUUCUUCCUGAUGACAAGAAAGCACAUAAUUUAAUGAUAUCAGAAUACAUGAUUGUAUACAUGUAACAUAUGAGAGAUCAUUACAUGAACCUGGUCUAUUGGACGACAAAGCCAAUCAUAUUUUCUGGAUUUGCAGCACCAACUGGUUAUAAAAAGUAAGGUCCACUGCUUGAACCAAUUAAAGCUGUUUUGGUCCUUUGGACAGGAUUCUUGUAAUAAUUUAUCGAUCAUAAAAGAUAUGUUUUGCAAGACAUGGAACUAAAAGUAGGCAAUCUGAAUCCAGCUAAAGCUGAAACUGUUAAUUAUGAAAAGCUGCGUUGUUUUUCUUUCUUUUUGUUUCCCAAACAACAUGGUGCUUGCAUGUUAUUCUUUCAAUGCCAAUAAAUCUGUCAAUGGUUCCGUUCAGAAAACUCAGAACCAACCACACCGGAACCCAAAAUACAGGAACCAAUCCUUGUACUCUCUAUCUAUUUAUAUCUCUGUAUGCCCUAAGACUAAAAGCAACAAUAGUGGAAAAUAACUGGAAUAUCCGUUCAAGCAUAUCUAUGAGGCACGCGGAGGCAACUUGCACUCAGGAAUUCUCAAGAAUGAGCUUGUUCACAACGAAUACUCACAAGGUGCUUCAGCAGCAAGAGCCGUCAACUCCUCAUUCCCCGGUGUGUCUAGUUCUCUUUGAUUGUUAGCAGCCCCAUGAAGACAACGAGCACAAGUCACUCAGAAAAUUUCUUGGCAAUCAGUAGGAUCAUGCCAAUGGUACUAUUUUUCACCAGCAAUUCCCAAAAGAAAAAAUCCUAGAUUGAAAUAAUAGCUUAGAUCAAGUAUUUGCAGCCAUUAACCUGCUGAUUCUAACUACUGAGGCUAAGAACACAAAACGAAGGCAUAGAUUUGGUCAUGGUCACAUUGAUCACAACAUUUCUAGUGAUUUUUUUUUUCACAUUUAUCUCCUGUAUGCUUAUCUCAAAUUUCCAGUCACUUUGCAACAGAUUGUUUUUUUUUUUUUUUUGUUCUGUCCAUUAUUUUUUCCCCUGGAAAACAUGAUACAUUUGGUGAAGCAUCACACAGAAAGUUGAUUGAUAAAGCUAUCCUUCCUGUUUGACACAGACAGAGCUCAUUUCAACAAUCAUGCACAUCUUUAACACAAUCUCCCCUCCUACUUUUCGAGAAAACUAGUUGCUGCUGAAGUAGCUGCUAUGUUUGUGAAACUGAAAUUACACAUUUCACCUAAUCUCAUCCUCUCACAACCAUAAUAAAAACCCUCACUAUCCUCUCUUUGCACAUCAAGCAUUUGAACAGGUAGUAUUGGCAUAUUUCUAUUAGCAAUUCUGCAUAGCAACAAUACAUCCCAAAAACCACACAAAGAUGAAGCAACAAAUUUCCCUCUUCUCAUUUUCACUUGUCCUUCUCUUCCUCCACUGCACCCAAACUCUAUCCCAGUCUCCUACUUCAGCACCAGCAAAAGCACCUACUGCAGCCUCUGCACCUCCACCAGCUGCAACCUCGUCUGCACAGGCCUCGCCGCCCGUUAUGGUUCCUGUACAAGUUUCGAAAGGUCCUGUCAAUGUCAUUAAAAUCCUUCAGAAGGCUGGCGGCUUUGCGGUCUUUAUCCGCCUUAUAAAAUCCACUCAAGAGGACAUCCAAGUAUUCUCCCAGCUCAAUGACUCGAGAGAUGGCGUCACCAUCUUUGCCCCAACCGAUGGGGCCUUUUCAGCCAUUAUCAAAUCAGGUGUUCUUAACUCCCUAAGUGAUCAUCAGAAGAUUGAGUUGGUGCAGUUUCAUAUUAUACCAAGAAUUCUUACAACUGCCAAUUUUCAAACUGUCAGUAACCCUAUAACGACACUGGCAGGAUCUGGUAGUCGUUUCGCUCUU